rnacentral:lncRNA from 1 species
UAAUUAAGCACAGAGAAAAACAAAGAUAAUAUAUGUCAGCAUACAAACAUAAACAAGUAGCUUUAAGGUGAUCUCCGUAAAUUAAGCACAGAGUACGUUUAUUUUAUGUUCUAAGGUGAUCUCCGUAAAGAUCAACGCAUAAGUAGUGAUAUUUAGCAAGACUUUUAAGGAUGUCCUCAAUAAGGACGUUGACCAAUAUAGUUGCCAUGAGGAUCAUAGCUCCAAAUCACGAACCACCAAGGCCUAUUAGUGCAUCGAACCCUAGCGCAGCCCGUGCGGGUCGAGUUGCGCCAAACCACCUGAGUGUAGUGCCUGCACUCCUUCCUUUGAGUACAUGAAUUGGAGCUGUAAUUGUAGUAUUGCCUCUCAUUCACCCACAGAUUGACGGCAGCCAGGGCCGUGAAGUUUCCAGGGCCUGCGGCUAGGUUCUCACCGUAAGGGCCACCAGAGCGCGCGAGUUGACAGUUAUUCAUCGCAACCUGGCGUCCCAAGCUAUCGGGCUAACAUUGACUUGUGCACGAGCUGCAUUAUGAACAUCGAGAUGGCCAGAACAUUGCUAAGAGAAUGAAGCAAAAUAUUGCUGAGGAGAUCUUAAAUGAUCCCAUUUCUUACUCUUUUUUUUUCCCCUCCUAAAAAUAUAUUUAGAGUAGCCAAGUUUUUGCAUGUCCGGUGCAGCCCAUGCAUGAGUUUAUAUAGGGACGAAUAUUGGAAAAUUUAGCAUGUUUAGCAUUUGAACUUUCAAAGUAGCUAAUUUUCGUGUGACAUAACGUUGUAUUCAGGAAACCCAAAAAAGCCGCCAGUACUGUGCUACAAUAUAGACGUCAAGAUUAUUUCUGCUGUGGAUUGUGGGUAACGUUGAAAAGGGUUAAUCAGACAAUCCUUUGAUUUGCGUACAAAAUAAUUCAUGGCACAAAAGUUUUCAUUUAGAAAUUGCAAGAUUGAGCUUUAAUUUCUCCAAUACAUAUUCAACAUCAGAGACGGUAAUUUAUAUGUUUAAUAAUGUAAAUGUUUUCGGUCUUUGUACCUGCUAUGAUACCAAACCUCUUGUGUCAGAUGCGUGAACCGUUGAAAUAUUAAGGAUUUAGUAACAUCACAAACGUUGUAACUUUAAAGGUUACAAGCAUAUAUAAAAUUUUCUCAAGGUUAUUUGUAUCAUUUGAGUUUCAUAUAAAUGCAAAAAUGUCUAUAAAUUAGUCAGGGCUAAAAAUGGCAAGUGAUGUUGCUAAAGAUAAGAGAGUAGUAAAAAAUUUAAUUAGAGAGAUAACAAGAGGAGUAAUUAAUGCAUAAUGGAUUUAGGAAAAUUAAAAAGUAUAUAUGUAGUUGACUGUUUGAGGUUGUUCUUGACAUUUGAAUAAAAUUUAUUUCGAUAGGAAGAUUAUUACUCGGACAAUAUCAUCAAUCCAUAGAAAGACCAAAAAUAUAAAUAUAAGUAGAUACGAGAAUGAUAGACUUGGAAAAAUUUAAGUGGCUAAUUAAGGAUGGUUUGUAACUUUUAAAAUCAAUGCAUAUGUAAUACUAACUAUGACAACAAGCGUUGAAUUUGUGCAAUAAUAAAUUUCUACUCACAAAAAUAUAUAAAAGAGUAUAAUGGUAAGUAGGAUAGUCUCUGCAGGGAUUAUGGGUAAUUUGUUUCUUCCCAAGCAAUAAUUAAAUGGGGGUUUUGGAAAAUUAAAUAAAAAAUCAAUUUAAGUAAAAGCAAUCAAACGAAAGAUAAUUUAAAUUAAUUCAAUAAUAAGCAAGCUCUAACCAAGGAGAAAACUCCGGAAGUGGUUCAUACAACUACUCAUUGAUACAAUAAUUAUUUCAUCUAUUCGUUAACAAUAGGUUAUAAUUGCCAAACAACCGAUAACAAUCAACCUUUUCUUAGUGUGUCACUAGUUAAAGUACGUCCCUUAACUACUUCUCUAACCAAGAAAGAACCUUAGGUACGUUCGUAAAAUUUAAUUUUUUGAUUGCAUUACAAACUAAAAAAGUCAUGUUCUAAUCAAUAAACAUAUUACCAGAAUUUAUUUAAAUUAGAUCAUAUAUUUCCCUAACAUGAAACUAAUCAUACUAGGUACCAUUAAUUUAAGACAAUUAAACAAUUACGGAUUUUAUUAUCUUAACUAGCAAUAGAUUAUUAGAUUGAAUAUCAACUCUUUGAUAUUCAAACAACAAAACAACUAUUAGAAAUUAAAUGAAAAAACAUAUGAAUAUCAUUGAAUAAAAGAAACAAAUAAAAAUAACUAGAUCUCACAGUUAUAGUUGAACUAAUUCCUUUGUUACCGUUUGACUAGAAAGAGAAAAUUAGUUGCUCUCCGUUGGGAAUACUCCGCACAAUUUCAUUGAGGGAAAUCGCAUUAGCGUUCGACUAUGAGAAUAACCAAAGAAAAGAAAAUCGUUCUUUCUUUUGCCGAAGGAAAGAUAGAUAGUCUCCCUAAAACAAAUACGUCACUAUUAAAGUUAAGGAAACAACACCCUUUUUCUUACGGUUCUGUCUCUUUCCAAACUAUAAUUACUUUCCUAAUUUCCCUAAUAAAAGGAUAUUCCUUAAAUUGACCAAAGAUAGACUAAGGAUGCGUUUGAUAAAACUGAAAUCUAAAAUUUGAAAUCUAAAUUCAUUAAAUUAUUGAAUUAUUAAGUAUUAAAUCUAAUACAUUUGAUAGCUUAUCACAUUCAGUGAUAAAUGGAUAGCUUAUCAUUUAAUUUUAGGAGUAAGUUUUGCUACUUAAUUAAUUCAGAUGUUCAAUUUUUAGUUAUCAAACGAUUUGAAUAUGUUAAUAUCUGAAUCCAUUAAAUUUAAGUACUGAAUUGAAUUAUCAAACAGGUUCUAAAUCAUUUCCCAAUAUAAAUUGGAAAGAUGAAAGACCAAUCAUCUCGCCUUCAACUCGGAAAACUGAAACACGUGCGAAUAUCAAUCUUUCCGGACUUGAGGGCUAGACUUAGGCGUAGCCACGUGAAACAGGUUAAGAAUCUUCAUUAAAUCACUUUUUACUCUUUUUCUUGCCUUAUUCCUACAAUCAAUAUCAAUUGCCAAUUAUGAGUAGAAUCAAUUCAAUAAUACAAUAUUCGGCCAAAAAUCAAGGGAGAAUAUUCAUAAAUUUAAUAGCAAUUACGCACCCUAUCAUAUGAGCACUUAGCAACAAUUUCUAUUUGACUUGGCACAUGCACUAAUAGGAUUUUGCAACUAUACGAGAAAUUGUGUGAAAAAAAAGGAAGAGUUAAUGUUCGACUGGAUUUGCAUGGGAGAUUGCUCCGGACAACCAAGGGCAAAUUAUUUAUAAUUAAGGACACUUUACCUAUCCUUUUGCCGGACAAAGUUAUGGUUGCAUUCCUCACAUUCCUGCACCCGGUUAUUUUAAGGUAUAUCUCUUGGUAGAGGAAUAAAUUGGAUGGUUUGAAAAAAGAUAGUGUAAAUAAGAGGUUUCAAAUUUGAAACUUCCCAUUUAUACUAUAAAAAAAUUUUAAAAAAAGGAUUUAUCUCGGAUUUGGGGGAGCGAUGGAUUGGAUAGUUUGAAAGGAAGGAAUGUAAGUAAAAUGUCUGAGAUCAGUUUAGAAAAAACAAAGAAAUGAUUUGAAAAAAAAAAGGAGUGUAAGUUAGAUACCUUGAAUUAGUUUAGAAAAAAAACAAAGAGAAUAAAGACAAGAAAUGGGGCUAUGGAAGUCCAAGAAGUCUUCCACUAGUGUUUCAAAUCCUCGGUUAAGUGGAAGACUUAAAAGAAGUCUCCUACUCCUACUAUAUUUAAGUUAUCCAUGGACAAAGACUCGAUCUGGGUUUUUUGUGGGUCUCUCUUAGAUCACCUUUAAUUGGGUCAUUUAUUCGUUAACUCCUGAAUGUUUCUAAUAUAAUUAAUUGUCUAUCUUGGAAAAAAAAAAAACAAAGACUCGAUAUGUUUGCAUUUUGUGCGGUCUAAUUCAAUUGUUGCGCAUGUUUAAAUUUUUUGUAUACAAAUAUAUUACAAUAUUAUAUUGAAUAUAUGUUCAAUUCAUGUACAUUACCUUAUUUCGUGUACAAUAAUGUAAUAUAAUUAUGAUAAAUUUUUUUUAUACACUGCCAGUGUAUAAUUUUUUUAUACUAGUAAAUUUAGAUCAUACCACAUAAUAUUAAUUGAAAUUUGAAAUUCAAAGCAUGCACGCAUUUAUUCAAAAUUGUUAGUAUAAAAAAAUCAGUACACUAUCAGUGUAUAAAAAAUUAAUCUAUAUAAUUAAAUAUCAAAUAAUGUAAAAAGUAUAAUAAUCAAACCCAAUCGCACGAAAUUCCAACCGCACUAACUCCUUCCCAUUAUGCACGUAUGACGUUACGUUUUCUCAAAUUAAACUGUAUGCAGCUCACAAGAAGUAAUUAUCAUGGACCACGAGCCUUGUUUGGCAGCCAAGUUUUUUGCCAAUUUUGUCUGCUAGAAGUUUUUUAAAAACUUUAGAUAUAGUAAUCUCAAAAAAAAUUUCAAAAAUUUUAAACUAUACACUUCAAAAAUUUUUUAAAAAAUUUCUACAGUAAGUUACAGUAAAGUUUUACACAAACAUCCAAAAAAUCCACUUGUCAAACGAGAAUGUAAAUGAACAUUAUUGUCCACAGCUAAGCUAGCAAAUUCUAGCUCUUUCCCUCCCUCAACCAUUUUACAAGUUAAUUUGUGCCGGACUCCCAAGAAUUGGCAAGUGAAAUUAGGAAUUGUAAAAUAGCAGGGUCGUCUCCGGCGUAUAUAAAAGCAGCCGAUGACAAACUCAUAGGCAACCUCGACGUCAUAAAGGUUCUUUAUAGACUCCCUAGUUAAUGUAAGAAAAGCUUCAAUUUGAAUUGCCAACCCAUGCUAACUAUGAUGACAAGGGUUUUGUUGUUUUUCACGCCCUUAAUUUGAUUAUAAGAUUUGUUGGGAACCAUGAUUCUAUGAACAAUUCCAUGCACUUUGAUUGUUCCAAAUGGGCUAGUAGGGUAAAAAACGGUAGUGAUACUAACGACUGUUAGAUUUGCUCAAAAAAGAAAAGGCAAAAAUCAUAGUGAGCAUUUUAUAAUGAUGGAUUUGUACGUUGCAAAUUAAACUGACCAUUACUUUUGGCAUGCAGUUCCAGUCUUCGACCCUUCUAUUUUCCAUUUCCAAAUCACUAAAAUAUGACGAGAAAUAAAAGUAUGAACACGAUAUAUAGAUAAAAACACUAAAAAGUUUGUAGUUCGGUGAGCUUUAGUACUGUAUAAUCAGGAUACAAGUUUUAAUGAAUAAUUGCAACUUGCAAAUUCUUGUUGCGUUUUGUAAGUCAGUUGCAUGGUACAUCAACUACAGACUAGAGUUGAAAUCUGAGUAUUAUUCCCGGGUUAGAAUCCUCUUCAUUGAAUUUCUCUCUAUUGAUUUCUCCAUUUGUUCAUACCUAUAAUUUUAUAAGUCUAUAAAAUCAUCAAAUUGUGUCAUUAUUUUUCUUUUAAUUUCUAGAUCAACAUACUAAAAAAUGAUAUUUUUUGGAAAAUACUUUGACAUUCAAUUUACACGAAACGUUUAAACGGUGAAAAAUGAGUCAAAAUUGUAGUAAAUUUUGUAAUGAUUAAUUUGAGGGUAAAUUUUAGUCAAUUUUAUACAAAAUUUUGUGCAUAGCUAACACAACUGAUGAAAAAUAUUAUGAAUAGUGUUAAUUUUAUUGAAUGUAAUGGAGAGAAAUUCUCUUCCAUAAGUUAAGUUCUGUCCAAUUCAAGCUCAUUAUUGCAAUUCUUAUUAUAUUUCAUAUAAACUAGUAUAGUUUUAGUGUAAUCACCAAUUUAAUUGUCUGAAUUGACAUAUUCAAGUUUACACUUCAGUUAUAUGAAUUUAUACCAAAAUCCUUUUUGUAAGAAUAUUACUGUAACACUUUUUAAAUUUUACUUACAAACAUUGAUAUAUUUAUCAUAAAUUAAAUGUUUGAAAGUAAAAUAUCCAUAACGAGCCAGUACUUUAAAUGGGUAAUGCCUAUUUGCCCAUAAACUACACCCUUUAAAGUUUAUUAAUUGUUAAUUGAUUUGUAUCACUUUGUCAUUCAUUGGACAUGUAGCACAAAGUGCAAAUCUAGUACAAAAUUCUAAUUUCACUCCCUAAAAUAAUAUUUUAAUCGUUUGGAUUGAAUUUGCAAAGGAUUAGUAAGUUCAGGAGAGGUCGGUGCAAUUUUUCAAACCACAGGGGAGGUUAGAGCAAGUGUUAGAAACCUCAGGGGAGGUUUCCGCAAUUACCCCUUUUAUGAAUUAUGUUGCUCUUACUUUUUUUGUCAAACGGAAGAAACCGACUAUUGACUUUACAAACCUAAGUCCACAGUACACCUCAAAAGCCGACUUAUGUUGCUCUUACUUGCAACUUAAAUAGUUGGCUGCAUUGUAGAAUUUAAGGGUGAGGUUUGGUGUGAUCAUCAGCCAUACAAGAAUGAUGGAAGGAUCAGAGAGCCAUACAAGAAUAAUGAUAUGGGGAAGGAUCAGAGAGAAAAAUUUCCGGAAAAAUAAGAGAAAACAGGGCUGAUGAACCAGCCCUGUUCAAGCCCGAAUAUCUCUUUCAUGAUUUAUCAUUUUAGGGAGAUUCUUUUUGCUACACUUUCCUGAGUCAACAGAGAGUAACUUUUCUGUUGGAGGUUUCUGAGGAAAACCACUCUAAAGCUGCGAAAAUUCUUGUUCAAAUCACCCGUUUCUCAGCUCUUGGAAUCCGAAGUUCUUCACCCCAACAGAGAGGAGUUCCACGAAUCUUGAAUUUGGCAAUCCAUCGCUAUCUAGCCCGACUUAAAACCCUCAAAGGAGUCGUUGAUAACCUUACUUGAUCAACUCUUUUCAUUUUAUAUCAUACUUGACUAAUUUCUUAGAAUUUCUCCCAUUCUUGGUAGACGAUAGUGAUUUUUUUUUUUGGAAUGUUUUGGCCUAAAAUUUUAAAUGAGUCUUGCCAUUUUAGACCUGUAAAGAUGUAGGACAUGAGUUUUCUGCAAUUUUUUCGUUGAGUUAUGUGAAGUAGUAGGAGGUUGAAGUAUGGGUUGUUCUCGAACUAUUUCUUGUUUUGUGCAAGAUAUGAUGAUUCUGGGUUACUUUUGAUGUUAUAAGCAUGUUAGGAAUGAUGAGAUGAUUUGAUCUAUGUAAAGAGUUGGGCUGUGAGGCCACAGGAAAAAACAGGGAUGAUGAAUCAGCCCUGUUCGAAUCCAUUUUUCUAACUCUUUUGAACGCUGUUUAAGGUGAUUUUUUUUUCUGUGCAUUCUAUAGUCGCAGCAGAGAAACUCCUCUGUUGAAAGUUUUUAGAGAAAGCCACUCCAAGGUCAUGAAAUUCGAGCUUGAAUUCGUCACGAUCUCAACCCUUAUCAUAGGUGACCGAAGAAGCAAGCAACCUGGUGCUGGAAUUUUCGCCCCUUUUUUUUUUCAUUUUCAUUCAACAUGGAGUCUUGGAUAUCUUUUGCACUUAUUCAUGAUAAUUGCUUGCUGCCCAAAAAAAAUAUUUGCUAUUUGGCCCCCUAAUUUUUGCAUAAUCAUGUUAAGGCGCCAAAAUUUGUGAAAACUGACAAAAUUUUCCUUUUGAAUUCUUGGCCUUCUUUUAUGAUGUUUAUGCAUGCUUUGAUGAAUGAAUUUAAGUUUUUGAAGUUAAUUAAAUUUUAAGUGAAUUCAUUAACUUUAGAAUUCUAAUUUUACAACUUUAGGAACUAAUGUAAAUAGUUUUUAGUUUGAUGACUUGAAAAUCACUUUGGUGUUCAAAUUAGUCUAGAUUUUGAGUAGAUUAUGAAUAAAAGGGUGGUAAAAACUGAUUUUGCAAAAUUUACAUUUUGACUUCUCGAUUUUAAAAUUUUUAUAUUUUGGCCACAAAAAUUUUUUGUUUUUCUCAUUUUCAUUGAGAUUGUCCUGGACUCUUUAAUCCUUCAUUCAUUUUUUCCAUUUUAGUCCCUAAGUUUUUUUAUCUUUAUCUUUAAUUGUUACUUCUUUCAAAAGAGAGGUACCCCUAUUAUCCUUUGAACUCCGAUCAUGUGAACUUAUGUGCCCCUAUGUGUUUAUAUAUUUUUAUGGAAAUUCUUUUAUUUAUUCAUUUAAAGUUCAUAUUUAUUUUAUGUCUAUUUAAUUUAUGUUUUGUAAUUAUUAGGGGGUACUUAAAUACCUCAAGAUGUAAUAGAUAGAUAAUAUUUUUUUUUGCUUUUUCUUUCCUUUUCACAAAAAUUGUAAUUAGGACUGAAAGGUUUGUUUUGUGACUAGGACUGAAAUUCUGGUUUGCUAAUCAUGGUCACAUGUGUCAUACACAACCUAUGGUGCCAUUGUAUGAAAAAGCUCUUGGAUCAAGUGAAAAAGCUCAAAAUGUGAGUGUUCUCAUCUAUUAUCUGCUAGACUAUGAAAUAUACCCGGAAACCUUUCUAAAGGUGUCCAUUGUGUUGAAAAUACAGAACUUGAUAAGAUUGAGGCCUUGCAUGAGGUACCUCCUGUUGCUUCUUUUUCUAGGUGAAGAAUUUGUUUGCAUUGGCUUAAUGCUUCUGCCUUCUAAAGAAGUUGCGCUCUCUAGUUUAAGUGCCAUUCAACUUGAGGACACAUUAUUCUGGAUGACUGGUUGACAUGAAUCUCAUGAUUUUUCUUCACAGUUGUAUUAUGGUGUUUCAGAUAUUGUUGCUGGAAAUUUUCAAUUCUAAUGCAGACUGUGGUCCCUCUCUGUUAAGUCCUAUAUUUAUUUUCUUAAUUGACAGUUGAAUAAAUUUCUCACCAUUGCUUUUCUAUGACUAUGUUUUUUGUUGGUCAAGUCUCUUAUUUUGACGGUAGUUUGGGCUCCUAAUUCUUAUUGAUUCAAGUCAGCAAUGAUUUAUUAUGUCCACUUAGUCUUGGUAAAUAGUUCUUGCAUGUUUAGCAGAACUAUAUGAAAAUGUGCCAAAUUAUGGGUCGUCUGUUGAGAGUUAAAACUGAACAAUGGCUAUUGUCUAAUUUGUCACUAGGUGACAAGAAUAUGAUUGUAUUGACAAUAUUCAAUUUUUUGAAUAGAAAAUGAUGGUCAGGUAUCUCUCUUUUAUGCGCUUUAUCUUAAGCUUACUCUUUCUCAAUAUGGUAUUUUUCCAGAUUCUUGGCCCUAUGCUUGUUUUCUUUACUUGCAUCAAACAUGGGCGACUCUGAUUCUUGGACACAUGACUUGUGCAUGAUGCAGAAGUUAUGUUUUCAAUUAUUUUGUUUUAGUGGUCUUUAUGAAAUGCCUUUCUCAUAGUUCAUUUUAUUGCAUCAAUACACAUGGCUCGCAAACGAGUUGAGUCGAGUUUUGGCCUAAUCGAACCGAGUCUCAACUUAAUUUUACCAAGCUCGAGCUCGAGUUCGAUCUCAAAUUCAAGUCGAGUUGAACUCGAGCUUGAGCUUAAAAAAAAUAGAAAAUAAUUAUUUUAUUUUUAAAAAUGAAUAAAAUAAUAAUUUUUUGAACAAAUAAUACAAUAUUAGGAAUAUAUAAAAUCGAGUCGGCUCGCAAACUAACGAGCUUAGGAUCUUUGAGAGCUCAACCUCGAUGUUGACCAAACUCGAGUCGAGCUUUCACUCCAGUUGCUGAACAAACAGUGCAAAUUUCUGGAAUUAUGUAGGGAUAUAAGCCAAUAAAUCAAUUUUCCUUUCGACAUUAUGUGGUUUUGUCAGCGCUAUUAUUAGUCUGAUUCCACCAAAAUUUUAAUAGCCUGGUUCAUGUGUAUUUUUUAUUCUAUUUUUAAGGAAGAAAUGAGAGGGAGAAGAGCCAAUGAAAAUGGUUCGAUUCAAAUUUUGCCCCUUUUUUACUGGCUUUCAUGUGUUUAGGUAGGAAUACUUGAGUUGAUUGAAUUAUUUCCCAUUUGAUAUCUUGGUCUUGGCUGAACUACUUUAAUCAUUUAGAUGCUCAGAAAAUACUGCCAGUAUAUUCUCUUUCUUUCACACAAGAAACACCAACGAAGUUUUCGACGAGCCAUUCAACAACUCCAUUGUCAAUUGAUAUUUGCUCCCAAAAGCACAAGCAAUGCCACCAUUGAAUUGGAGCAGCAUUCUUCGGCAAAGAAUAAAUUGACAGAAUUAUUAGGUCUUUGGAACUUCAUACUGCGGCAGUAUGCUCUUGGGCUUUCACCCCAAGAGGCUGUCUUCCUAUUUCAACACCUCCAGGGCCACUGUCAAGUUGAGUACUUCUUUGACAGCUUCACCUAUUCUUUCCUCAUCAAAGCCUCUGCAAAUCUGAUCCAAAGUGGCUUAGGUAAACAACUUCACUGUUUAACUUACAAAGCUGGCUUUCAGGAACAUAUCUAUGUACAAACUGCUCUGAUUGACAUGUAUAUGAAGUGUGGGUGUUUAGUGGAAGCGGGGAAGGUGUUUGAUGAAAUGCCUCAGAAGAAUUUGGUAACUUGGAAUGCUUUGCUUACGGGUUUUAUAAGGUGGGGCGAUCUUGGAUCUGCUCAAUCUGUUUUCAAUAGGAUGCCUCAAAAGAAUGUUGUUUCUUGGACUGGCAUGAUUGACGGUUAUACAAGGAUGAGGCAAUUUGUCAAAGCUCUCUCAUUAUUUCAGAGAAUGGUUAUCUAUCAGGGCAUCAAGCCCACUGAAGUGACUCUUUUAGCAAUUUUUCCAGCUAUAUGGAAUCUCAGGCAUAUUGAGUUUUGCCAACUGGUUCAUGCUUAUGGAGAGAAAAGCGGAUAUAAUGCUUCUGAUAUGCGAGUUAUGAAUUGUCUAAUUGAUGCAUAUGCAAAGUGUGGGAGUAUAGAAUAUGCACUAAGAGUUUUUCGGGACAUAUUAGAUGAAAGGAAGAAUAUAGUUACAUGGACAUCUAUUAUAUCCAGUUUUGCUAUGCAUGGGAUGGCGGAAGAAGCUUCAAAAAGCUUUAGCGGGAUGCUGUGUACAGGUCUGAAACCAAAUCCAGUAACAUUUUUGAGUGUUCUCAAUGCUUGCAGUCAUGGUGGAUUGGUUGAUGAAGGCCUUGAGUUCUUCAGAAGGAUGGUUAAUGAGUAUGACAUUGUUCCAGACAUAAAACAUUACGGGAGUGUGAUAGACAUGUUGGGGAGGGCGGGGAGGCUAGAAGAAGCAGAGAAGAUAGCUAUGGAAAUUCCUAUGGAUAUUGGCAAUGUAGUAGUUUGGAGGACACUUUUAGGUGCUUGUAGUUUUCAUGGAAAUGUUGAGAUGGGUGAGAAAGUUACAAGGAUCAUUAUGGAGAUGGAGAGACAAUACGGUGGUGAUUAUGUCCUUUUAUCCAAUAUCUUUGCUGGUGUUGGUAGGUAUAUUGAUUCUGAGAGAGUGAGAAGCCACAUGGAUAAGAAAAACGCAGCAAAAGUUACUGGCCUUAGCUUUGUCUGAUGGGGAACUGCAGAACCUGUCUGCUACGUUGGUCAUACUGUGUUAAGAAGUUGAGCCAACCAGCAAAACUCUUAUUCUCAUCUAGCAUGUCUUGACCUGGGGAACAAUACUUGGAGUUGUGUGAAAUGUUUUGUCUUCCUUCCAGUGCCAGGGAGUGGUUAACGGAUUCUUAGUUUCUAAGUUGUUUAAAUGAAAGUCAGAUUUUGAGUAUUAUUCACUGCUGUUCUUCAGUUGGUAUGAUGAUGUUUCAAAGUUCUUAUAGUAGGUCAGUUCCAUGAGAAUAUACCUUUUUCAAUGUCCGACGGAACUGGAAAUAAGUUACCUACUAAAUUCCAAGUUUUUGCUUGGUUUGGUGUUAAACUAGAAAAGCCUUCAGUUGGAAGUUGUCUCAAGAAAGGUAUCUUUUUAUCUGCUUGAUGAUGUUUCAAAUUUGAAUUACCCACUUAUUAUUUAUGGUAGAAAACUAUUCUUCCAAUUGUUUUCUGUUGGGUGGAGUCAGGUGACCUUUUUUUAAUUAUAGUGAUGUUUCUUCUCAUGUGUUGUGUCAAAAGCCUCCAAUUGAUGGCAUUAAUUCAGACUAGAAAAGACAAGUACAAAUGCUACUUCUCACAAGUUCAUACUUCUACAAUAUCAGGAAUGGGAUAUUUAGUUAGUAAACCUUUUAGCUUUUAUUCCAGUUGCACUGGAAACAUUGCCCAUUGGUGGAAAACUUUUUUUCUUGGUAUUUCACAAAGUGAAUAAACUGAAAGUUCAAAAAGUUCUCAUGGCUGAGGGUCAUUCUCAAGCCCACUUAUAGAAAAAAAUUGAUGUAGGGUGAUGCUAAAUCCCAUGACUGAAUGUGAUGUGUUGGCUUAUCCUCAAAGUUUGUAAAACGGCUGUAAAACUUUGAUUUAAUUUGCAAAGAAUUUUGUUUGUUGACAGUACUUCAGCUUCAUCAUCCAAAAUAACAUGUCGUUUUCUAUCUUCCUUAUAUUGAUUUACAGAUUCUGUUUCCACACUUCCCUUCCCCCUCCUGUCUUGUUGGCUUUGUAAUUAAUGGAGCGAAUUUCUUGAUUUCUGAAAAGACGAAGAGGGGUUGCAUGGUAGUUAUGUCUGUUCACUUUGUUCCUUUCAUUGAAAUUUAUGUUAUUGGUUGAUUGUUUCCUGUCAUUUUAUUCUCUCAAGCUUUGUCUGGUACUGAUUGGAAUCGUUUUAGUUUCCUUUUGUCCAGGUAUUCCACAGUUUAUCAUCUAUCAAAAGAUAGUUGGCAACUACAUGUAUAAAGGAAUCUUGCCAUUUAGACAGUCAGUCUGAGAAUAGGUGUUCCAUGGAGGACCAGGGAGGAAGAACUUAAUAUGGCAGCUUGCACUUUCCAUAUUCAACUACAAAUAAAUUGGAAAAAGAAAUGCUAUGCUACGCCGUAAGUAUAAAGAUGGUGUUUGAGAAUGAACCCUUUUAUAUACGUGAAUGAUUGCAAGAUUUGGGAGACAAUUCCCGAUGUCAUUCAUCAAUCACCCCACUCAUCGGUGUACACUGUGAGUGUAAGAUUUUUUGAGUGUCAGCAUUGUUGUUUUUUGGCUCUUGUUCUGGUCAUAGUAUUUCUAUUAUUUUCAUUGACUUGCAACUUUAAUGAGAUUCCUUUUAGUUGUGUUUCUCCUAUAUACAACACUGGUUAUUUUGACAAGUUGUUACAUUAAUUUCUGAUCAGCCUUUGAAAGAAGUUAUAAAUUAGUUGAUAAUUACGUUUAAAUUGUAAUGAUACAAUAUGUUUCUCCUUCCUGUUAUGAAUCCCUAAAAGUUUAAAAAAUAGAAGUAGGCCAUGCAACCCUGCAUGCAUAACCAAUUAGUAUAGCAUUAAGCGGUGCUGGAAUUGAAACUCUGUAAUAGCAAAUGUAAUGAUAAAAAGUGGUGAAAAGUUAUGGUCCCUCAGGCAUACAUUGGAUGCUACACUUCAGAAUUUACAAAGAAUGACCUAUCUGUGGUAUCAUGGUGUCAUCCCAAAAAUUUCAAGUUUCAAUGUUUACAAACAUCAAGUUGAAUAAUUUGCAAUAGUUCUGUCUCCAGCUUCUUUCAGUUGAGAUAGUCGGGAGAAAAAUCUUCAAGAUGAAGGGAACUCUGUCACCCGGAUAGUAUUUGCUCUGGACAGAUACAGUAUUAGUUGGCUCUUGAAAUGAGCAACACAAGGAGGAUGAUCAUGAGAAAGAUGAGGAGAGAUGAGCGCAAAGAAUGGGAGGAUACAUAACAAAAGGCACCUUGUAGAAGUUGACACUUUAACAGCCUAUCUGGCUGUCUUAGAAAGCUGUCUUAGCUUUCUCGCAUCUCGCAUCAGCACCUUUGCCAUGGAAAUAGGGUGGAGUACAAAGACAAAUCUGGAAGAAAGGAUGGUUGCCUUUGAGGCGGUAGGCCUUUUACCUGGAUCCCAUGAGCAAAGUGAUGCGAUUAGAUUGAUUGCGUCCUUAAUAGCAGAAGGUAUCAAGGUGGAAAAAGAGAUACCAGCAACCUGUGGAAACUGGUAUUUAAACAUCACUGGCAAGUUUAAGACCUUCAGACCAGUUAUUCUCUGUUGGGCUACCUAAAACACUGCAUAUUGUAUUGAUGCCGUCUGCCUCACUGGAACCUGGUAUUGGCGUUCUUGUCUGCUGCAUCAGUUGGUUUAGAGUACAUUCCAGGUAUUCAAACACACAGUAGAGUGUGUCAUGCUCUGUAAUAACGCCCUUCAGCUUCACAAUAUUCGGAUGGUCCAUUUUUCUUAGUUGAUUUCUCUCAGAUUAAGCUCUUCUGAACGAUACUUCUUGAUCUUUUUAAUUGCAAGCACCUCACCAGUGUGCUUAUCAGACGCUUUCCAAGCACCUCACCAGACCCAACUUUCUUGAUUUUUUCAUACUUUUCCACCUUUUGAUUUCAAGAUCAUGCAAAGAUAAACCAAAUCUUUGCUCAUCUGAAACUUUGCAGAAGGGGGGCGAACCUUGAAUUUCAGUGAUUGGAAAUGAAAAAAAGGGAAGCAAGUAAUGGGCCGUAGUUGCCACGUAAUGGGCUGAAAGGUUUACAGGAUAAUUUAUAGGGUAAGUAAGUGAUAUUUUUAAAUUUUGGACAUAAAUUUCUAAGACUAAUAAGCGAUUUCCCUGCCCUCUAAUUCCUUUGUAGCAGAUAAUUAAGAACUUUUUUUUUUUAACAGAAAGUUUCAGUAAAUAAAAUUGUUCUCGCUUAUCCAUUACUCCAAAAAAAAAUUUUUCUUUGUUGUUGUAUGUCAAAAAAAAUAAAAUGAAGAAAUUUUGAAAUCAAUUCAAUUGCCAAUUUCAAACAUUUAAGAAGACAAAAAUUCGUAAAAACUUCUUGUUAGAAAUUUCUGACAUUCAACUAAUUAUUUGUAAAAAAAUUAAAAAUUUUGGUAAACCGGCAAUACAAUUUUUUAAAAAAGAAAAGCUAAUAUUAUUGGUAAACUGGCAAAACGAAUUUUCUUUUUUUUUUUUUAAAUGCCUUAAAGCUAUCUUUUAUGAGAAUCCGACAAUUUUUAGACGCUAGGAAUUCCUAUCCUAUAACAAUACUAAAGUUUCUAAAACCAGUGUCUUCCAAUCCCAGUACAAUUAUAACAACGUAUAACAACUGACUAGGAGAAUUAGUAUGCGUUGUUUUUCCAACAUCAAAAUUCAGAAGAUUAUACUCAAGUUUCUACAUUCUUUGAUCAAUCUUGAUCAACCACGAACAAUGUUGUUGAUUGACUGCUUAGCAAAACUUGCAACAGAAGAAAAAAUCAAACUAGAUGAAGAAGAGAGAAAGAAAGCAGCCGCUGAUAAGCUUCAUCAAGAUUCUCUAGUGCCCGAGAUGAAGCGGCGCCCAGACUACAUCAGAUAUAUAUGCAAGCGUAAGAGAACCCCCAGAGAAGUCUGCUGUGUCAUAAGGAAUACGCCAGAGGGGCGUUUUGAGGAAUAUCCCAAGGAGAAGUUGAACAAUGGUACUGAUUUUGAUGAUGGCCAGCCGCCCCAUCGUGAUGAGAAUUGGAGGAGAGAGAGAUUGUUGAAGAAACCAGUGGUUUAUGAUGGUGAGGUGAAAGUCAAUAAGAAAGUAGUGGAGAAAACCAUCGAGUAUGAGCGUACUAGUAAUGGGGUUUCAAAAAGAAAAAGAUUCGUGGUGAAAACCCUGGAGAAUGGGGAUGAAGAAUCCGAUGAUGAUGAAUUUUUCGAAGGCCAAAAAAGCAUCAAGAAACGUAAGGAGGAGGGUUCUAGUAAUGGGAUUUUGAUAAGGGAAAGAAGCUUGAAGGAGGGUUUUAAUGAGGGAUUGAAUAACAGGAAUGAGAAGAUCGAGGAAGUUGUUUGUAACGAGAGUGAGGUUUCAAUAAGAGCAGGUUCCUGGAAGCUACCUUAUGGUGAUGAACUUUAUCAAGGUGAAAAAGGCAUCAAAAUUCAAGCGAAGAGGGAGGAUGGUGAUGGUUUUUUCACUGGAAAAAUAAACGAGAAACAAAAGGAGCGUUUUGAUAAGAAGAGUGUUAAGAGCAGGAGCCCUGUUUAUGAUGAGCGUCCAUUUCCUGAACCAGGAUUGCCAGAGGAAGUCAGGGAACAAAUUUGCGAGAGAGCCAGAGAAAAAGGUGGAGUAUUUGAUGAAAAAGACAAGGCGAUUUUGGUGAUACAAAAGGCUCUCACAGCAAGUGAUGUUAGCAAACAACAAAAUCGAUUCUCCAUUCCUGAAAAGAAGAUGAAUAAAAGCUUUCUCAGUGCUGAGCAAGAAGCGUUCCUUGAUUCUAAACAAGAUGGGAAACGUUACUACAAUCGUAUCAUGGUAGAUAUAAUCGAGCCGUCGGGUACAGUGAAAGAAGUGGCUUUUUCAAGGUGGAAGAUGCCGAAGCAAAGAGGCAAAACUAGCGUCUCAUAUGUCAUAAAAGGAGCCUGGAAAGAUAUGGUGCCCAACAAUAGGCUUGAAGCCGGCAAAGUUGUGCAACUGUGGGCAGUUCGGAUCAAUGAAGGGCUAUGUUUUGCUUUUGUUAUACUUGAUUGAGGGAAUACACAAAAAUUUUUCACCUUAGGAUGAAGAAAUUCCCCAAUCUUUAAUCACCUUCUGUAUUACUGCUACUUUUAUGAUUUAUCAGCCUACUUUUCGAUUGUUAUAUAGACUGUAAAACUCAUGAUGCAUUGGGUUAACCUUGCUUUUGAUUUCCAUAAACAAGACUAGCUAUCAGGCUGAUGCUUCCAGUUUGGCUUGUAAACUUAAUAAAUAUUGCUUUCAAAGAUAGAGUUGAUGAAAUAAAGUAACUAGAUUUUUAUUUAUUUAUUUAUUUUUGGUUGAGACACAACCGUACCAUAAUAUACUGUACUUGCAUUGUAUCUUAAAAAAAAACUCAAAUAUUAAACAGGAAAACUUAAGGCUCCAAUUUUGGGCUAAUUAUUGUAUCACAUAAGACCAUCAAUAUUGAAUAUAUAUCCUAUUGCAGGAUUCCCAAGUUAGUACUCCUCUUUAACAAACAGUCACUGAAAAGCUGUUUAACGUAAUUUUACAACGUAGCAUCAUUCGAUUGUGACGAUGGAAAUUUCCUAUUCUUAUAAAGGUAAUUAGAGGGAUGCACAGCUGAGAAAAUAGUUGAGGUCAAUUGCUAGUUUUUUAUAGAAGGGAAAAAACAACAAAAUUGUUAGCUCAGUUGCUACGUUUAACCUGACAAAAAUUCCUAAACCAACAUGAAAAACAAUUUUUUAGAAGUUUCCGAUAUUACUUGUACUCAUUUUUUAAUCAUAUGCCGAAAGUAACUCUGACUAAGAAUUCAAAAACUUCCAAAAAGUCAACAAAUUUAUCCCACUCCUAUUUGUACAAUACUUAAAGUUUCUAAAACCAGUCUUCCAGUCCCAUAAGAAUUGUAUAAUCUAUACAAGUACAUGUGCAAUUAGUCUCCAAAUAUUUCAAUCGAAUUGUAUCAUCUAUAGAAGUACAUGUCAAUUAGUCUCUAAAUAUUUCAAUCCAUCACAAGAUUACCUCUCAAUAUUGUUCAUCAGUCUUGAUCAGCGACGAACAAGACGCUCUCACAACGAGUGAUGUUCAUAACCAGCAAAGUCGAUUCUCAAUUCCAGCAAACAGGAUGGCGAACAAGUUUCUCAGUGCUGAUGAAGAAGCUUUCCUUGAUCGCAAACCAGAUGAUGAGAGACAUUACAAUCAUAUGCUUGUAGACUAGGGGGAAAAGCCCGCGCGAUGCACGGGAGUUUGGUGCCUGUAAUUAAAGAUGGUUAAUAAUUAUUAUUUGGUCUUUUGUAAUGUAAAAAUUGACGUACGACAAAUUUAUUAUGUGAUAUUAAACAUAAAAAUCAUAAGUUACAUAUUGAGUCAAAAAAAUAUAACAUGCAAUGAAACAUAAGUAUAAGAUACGAUCAACCACUUUGCAUCUGACGUAGUAAAAUAAAAGACCUAUUUAUAUCUGUUCAUGCACUUUAGGGAUAUUAAAAUCUGCAGUUUAGUUUGAAUUUGAUCUUGAUAUGAAGACAAUCCAUCACAUUAUCUUGUCAUAUAAGUGAGGUUUGAACAAUUAGCAUACUUAAAGAAAUCAUUGCUAGUGGAAUUUCGGUUCUUGCAAGUCAAAUUCUUGAAUUUAUAUUGAUUCCAAGGACAUCAUUACGAGGCCUCCACCUUGACCAAUCAAUCAAUUAUGAUUUAUUGUAUGAUUUAGAAUACAUAGCAAAGCAUCUCCUUUUUGAUAGGAGUCACAAUCACGAAACAUCAGUUUUUGAGUUAGUUGCAAAGAUAUACAACAAUUAACACGCUAAUUUAGAGGAAUAAUUACCUCAAAAAAGUAUUAAAGCAUCUUAAUCCACUCAAUUCAAGAAAACAAUUAAAAGUAAUGAAGUACAUACUUUAGAUUUGCAGCCAAAUAGUUUUAAGCAAAUAGUUAAACAUAUUGGAAAAUCAAAUGAAGUGAAAAAAUUGACUAAAUGGAAUUGUUUGAAAAUUUCCAUAACUAAUGGUUUGAGGUUGGGCCAAUUUGGUCCCUAUUGUUUGAGAGAAAACACAUUUCGAAAGUUUUAAUUUUUUAACCAGUUUAGCACAAUUGACCCCAAUUUGGGAUGAAUUUGACAUUUAGCCACUCAAUUAAAACACACAAGAGGCAUGCAUUGUAAGUAAAGGAGUUAGGGGAGGUAAAAUUCACUUAUCAAUUGUCCAAUUGGAUUUUGUGUGAAGUUUGAGUGAUCAUGUUGUUACUUUUUAGUUUUUUUCCAUCUUUUUUUACAUUUUUUUUUACAGAAGAUAGUUAAUUUUAACCUUUUCGUAUAAUAUCAUUGUGAAUAUGCUAAACUACAAUCUAGGUUUUUCACUUUGUUUGAUAUUGUUUGUGUUUGUCUAUAUAGAUUUUUUUAUAUUGUCAUUGCGAAAUUUAACUUUUGCACUGCAUACUGUGAUGGAAUUGGAUAAAUUUUUUGAAAACCUCUUAUCGUCAGCAAUAUUGUACUUUUACUUUUGGUGAAAGAGGAAAGUGUGUUAGCUAUUAUUUUUGUGCUAUGGUUAUGCAUAAACUGGCCUUUGCAAAAUAAAAUUGAUUCUUUUUAUGAGUAUCAUGAAUCUCUACACCAUAUUUGCUGAGGUUGAAUUAUGAAGUUAUAACCAGUGGAGCACAAGUUGAGUAAUUGAUUGCAAUCCCACACUUGAUGUAAAUUUUUUUUUUUAUUUACAUGUGCUAACUUUGCUUAGUUUUAAUUUAAUUGUUACAUUGAUAAACUCAUUAAUUUUAAUAGAUUGUAACAAAUUAUUCACGAAAUAAAUGUAUCGCUAUAUUUUUUCUUGAAGGGGAAAAAGUCAUAUUUUCAGGGUGCAAAGAGAAGACAUGUAAUAAAAUCAAUUCUUCUAAUCAGAUAAAAGAUAUAGAAUUUUCGGCAUCAAUAUGAAGAGACAAAUAAUCAUGGAUAUGCAUGCAAAAAACUUGGAAUUAUUUGGGCCAAAUUACUAUUUUUGUAUUGUGUCCAUGCAAAAACAUGACAAUUUUCAACUCAAUCAUACGGUUCAUUUUUCUCAAAUUGAUCUCGCUUGUCAAUCGCUCAGCAUUGACAGUAGCUUAAACUAGUCUGGUUGAAUCAAGUGUUUCGAUCCAUUUAUCAAAACAAACUUAGACGAAAAUUUAUCAGGCUGCAUUCAGAUUGAGAUCAACUAAUAUAUAUAUAUAUAGACAAACACACACUUACACAUUUUGAAUAUAUUUUUAAUCGACUUAACUUCGAAUCAUGCUCCUAAUUUCAACGAACAUAAUGUCAGUAUUCGAUAGAGGUGUCAAAAUGGGUGACUUGGACGGGUUUGGGUUGGGUAAAAUGGGUAAUGGGUAUAAGUGAGUCAACUCAUUUAUACCCAUUUAAUUAGAUGGGUAUAAAUGGGUAAGUCAAAAAAUGAAUUGGGUAAUCCAAUUACCCAUUUGUAAUCCAUUUAUUUUAACUUUUUGUAAACUCAUUUAAAUUCAUUUUUGCAAACUAAGUUAUCAAUUUAUACCACUCUUUGUACCCAUCAUUAGUUUUAAAUAUUUAUUUAUAAUGUUCAAUAAACUUAAUUACCAAUUUUUUUUCAUUUAUACUCUAUGUCACAAAAUUAUCUAUUAUUUAAUAAUUGAAUAAUAAGAAUAUAAAAAUUUGAACUAAGUACUAUAAAAAUUAAUAUAAAGACUUAAUCCAAAAAUUUUGAACUCCUAACAUUUUUUUCAUAUAUAAAUUUAAAUUUUCAUUUUAGAAAGAUAAGAAAAUAGGCUAAAAUUUAUCAUAAAUUAGUAAUGCUGAAAAAUGAGCAAGUUAACAAACUAAGAGAAAAUAAAAUAAUAAGAUAAAACUAACAAAUAAUAAUAAUAAUAAUAAUAAUGAAAUAAAAGUAGUUAACAUCAUGACAAAAUGAAAAAUUUGAAAAAAAAAAGGGUGGGGGAAAAGAAGAGACUUGGGGGGAAGAGAAUUUUAAAUGAGUUAAUUGGGUUUGAUGGGUUACCCAAUAAAACCCAUUUAAUUUAUACCCAUAUACAAAAAUUUAAGAUACCCAUACCCAUCUAUUCAUGGACGGAUAUGGGUAAAUUUAAUUAAGUGGGUUGAUUUGCCACCUCUAGUAUUCGAGGACUAAUAUGUAAAUUAUGUAAAUUGGAGUAGCUUUAUGAGUUAGUUAAAGGUUGUUAGAAAUGAUGAGGUAGCAAGUCAGUGUGUUACAGAACAAUUAAGAAGUGAUUGAAUACUUCAUUUCUAUAUAGGGAAGAAUUGUAAAGGAAAAGGCAGUUAAGGAAAUUGUAACUGAAUUGAUUCUUCUUCUAUCUCUACUCUCUCUCGUCUUUCUCUCCUGCUAGCUAGUUCAUCUUUACGUUCUUCUUCUUCUUGGAAACAUGGCUCCUUAAUAGAGCUUCUAUCAGGAAAUCUCACUCGAACUCCUGAAAAUUGGUAUCAGUCUGGACGAACCUUGGAUUGUACAAAUAGUUUGAACAGAAUUUGAAAGAUCAAAUGAAGAAAUAGGAAGUUCGUCUGCAGAAGGCACUAAAUUCCAUGAAGAAUACCCACGGGUCUUCAUCAGUGAUCAUAACAUGUCAAUUAUGCCUAAAAAGGCACUUCACAAUGUACACUUCUUCCCUUUUUUUCAUUUUUUUCUCUUCUUUUUCCCAAAAACAACCAUAAACAUCCUCAAAGUAAACUUCAAUUGCCAACACUUGCUAGAUCAAAUUCAUUGUUUUGCAUCAACACAUCAAAUCCCUGCACAAUGAAGUUAAGAUAAAUUUUCAAUGCAAGAUUUAACAAAAAAGUCUAAACAAGAGGUUUCGAGUAACAAUUAUGGUUAUUAAACAAACAAAAAGGGUUAAAGGCUCAAACAUGGUUCACUAAUGGUCAAUAAAAUAAAGACAAGUCUUUUAAGAAAGUCAAAAACUAUUAAACCUAGGCACUCUUGUCAUUUUUAUGUAUCAAAUUCAACAAAAAUGUGCUCUCAACAUGUACAACAAAACAUGUUCUAGAAUGAUAAAAUCAUAUGCGAUAACCACUCAACAAAAGAAAAUUGAGUAAAAUAUAGAUGCAAUGCCCAUUAAUUGGCUCAAAACCUCACAAAUGGUUAAAAUUUGUCAAAUUCAGCAUAUUCAUCAUUCAAAUCUAUUGUCAAGAAAAAUAAGAUACUUAACUAGUAUAAAUUUGUUGUUCAUACUUGCAUCUUGAUUGUAUACAUCCAUCAUAGCCAACAAAAUUAGCAACAAAGAAAAUAUGAGCAAUACAAAGCAUACCUACCUAACAUAACCCCUUUCCCACACUAAAUCUUACAUUGUCCCCAAUGUAAGAAAUAAAGAACAAAAGAAAAGUAAAAGCAGACAACAAAACUUCCCAGAAUACAGAUGAGGGUAUCUCACUGCUAAGGAUAUGGAACAAAAGGUGGGAUGAAACCAAUAAAAUGAAAGUAACCACCAAAUUCUUCAAUCAUUUUAGACACGGGCAUGACUAAAACAUAAGGAGUCUUUUGGUCAAAAAUUUUCAACUCACCAAUUUCGGUGUGCUCUAGAGGGGCGAGCACGCCUUGUCGAUUACUAAUCUUCUGAAAUUUCUGAGCAUGCCAUGAGAACUUAUGAGUUAAUUAGGCACAGGCACACCAUGUUUGGUAGUAGUUUUCGGUCCACUAAAACAACAAAAUAAAUAUCAAACACAUAAAACACAAGAAAUCUAAAAGAAAAGUAAUAAAAAUGAACUACAAAUGAAUUAGAUUGCAUCCCAAUAAGUCAUUAGGAUGUUUCAUUUUAUAAAAAAUAUUAACAUAGAUAAUUUCUCCAUCAAACUCUAUCAUAAGAGUAAUCUUGCUAAUAUCAAUCUUAGUUUAGAUAGUACUACUCGGAAAGGGUCUUCCUUCUAAUAUAAUAGGUGAUGAAUUUGGAGAAUUUUUAUCAUCCAUAUAAAGCACAUAAAAAUCAGUAAGAAAAACUAAUUCAUCUACUUGAACUGAAAUAUCCUCAAUUACUCCAUCUGGAUAAGCAUAUGUAUGAUCAUUUAAUUGAAUUAUUAUCCCUAUUUCUUUUAAAGGGUUUAAAUUUAGAGAAUCAUAAAUGGUUUUACGUAUCACAUUAAUAGAUGCUUGGUAAGAGUAUAUUUUACGUGUUUUUUAGUGCAUUUUAUUAGUUAUUUUUGGUGUUUUUUAACUACCUUUAUAGCUAAUUAACUAGGAUUCUAGUGAAAAUACGUAUUUUGUGGUUCAAAGUGUGAAAAUUGCAUUUCUAUGGAUUUUAUUGGUGAAAACUUCAUGUUUUUGUAGGUUUAAUGAUUCAAUCAUCAAAGGAAGUGAAUUGAGAAGAGAAUUGGAUGAUUAUUGAUGAUUUAAAGAAGUUUAAAGAAGACAUGAAGUGCAAGAGAAGAAAUGCAAUCAAGAACAAAAGAAGAAAAGUUUCACAACUUUGACACCUUGUGGUAUUUUGGCAAUAUCUUGAACUACAAGCAUCAAAUUGAGGUGAUUAUUAUACAUUUUGAACCUAAGAGAUAUAUCUACAUUUGGUGUGAAGAUAUUGAAGUCCAGUUCAGCCGUUUUCCUUGUCAAAAAGUCCAAAUACAGAAGUGCAACUAUGUUGUCAAAAGCUGAAACAAAGCUCUGACCAAUUGAGGGUAUUUUGGUCAUUUCUUGGUCCACAUAGCACCAAGUGGGAUGAUUCUUGAGGCAUUGGAAAUCUAACACAAAGGGCUACAACUUUUGUAAUUUGAACAAGAGUUAGUUCGGUCUCCAUCAUCAAGAAAAUAGCAGUUGAAGUGGUACCAAAUGCACAGAAGUGAAAAUGCGACUUCAUGAAUAUGUGAUUUGAAGUCACGUAUUCUCUUAUAUAUUCUGCAACUUGCUCAUUAACUUACCCUGCUUUUACACAACAUUUUCAGCUUAAUUUCAUCUAUCAAUUCCGGCUGUGUCUGAUCAAGAAAAGGUUAGAAAGUUGGAAAGACAACUCAUGAGAGUUUCAAGAGUCAAAAAUGACAACUAGAAACAACUCAUUUGGCUCUUGAAUCCUCUAUAAAUAGAGACCUUUGGAGAACAUUUAAAAACAUUGGAAGGUUAGAGAAACUUACCAAAAAUGUAGUUUUCACUAGAGUUUCCUUAGUUCAUUAGUUAGGGUAGUAUAGAGUAGCUAGUGUAGGUUAUCUUUCUUGUAUUUGUAGUUAGAUUUGGAUGAAGAUUAAGGAGCAAAGAUGUAGAGUUUGAAGCUCAUGUAACAAGGGUGACAUCUCUUCUAUCACUUUCUCUUUUGUAUUUAAGUUUAUAUUUAACUACAAUACAAGUUUGGAUCCUAUUUUUCAUGUUUAGUUAAAGUUUAUGCCUAGAAUUAUGGAUGAACUUUCUAUAUUUUGUUAGUGAUAUUUACUUGGUUAUAUGGUUAUAUUAACUUGAGCAAAUUAUUUAUUGUUUUUUCUUUUCUAAUCAUGAUUAACCAGUCAUUAAUUAUAAUUAUCUAAAGGUGUUAAGUUUGUAAUAAGAAUUGAAAUUUAACACUAGUUCAAAGAAGUGAUAAACCUAGGGAGUUCACUCACGAGAGUAGAGGAACACCUUUGUGGCUUUAGUGACUUGUUCAAUGUAAUUUUAUAGAAGAAAUGAGCUUGUAGUUAAUUUCAUAGCCAUGAGAAUAGUUAUGGUUUAGUUACAAGUAUAGUUGAUUCACUACGAAAGUAUGUUUUACAUAUAUUAGGAAAUUAUGGCCAAAAUAAUAGCAUUCACUUAACCGAUAAUCUCAUUUGCAAGAGUAGUAAAUAAUUCCAUAUCUCUAGAAGUUUUGUAGUGUUAUUUUCAUUACUUUUAUGUUUAUGGUAGUCUAGAUAAUAAAGGAGUUCAAAAAACACCAGUAAUUGAAAAUUUUUCCUGUGGGUUCGACCCUUACUACCCUAUACUCACUUUCAACUCGUAUACUUGCAAAAAAUUGUGUGUGAGGUAUUUAGGAUAUUAUAAAUAUAAAACUUGAUUGUGGACGAACUAAUUGUAUAUAUAGACCCCGCGCACGUCAAUGCUCCUAAAUCUAACAUUGCAUUUAUCUUACAGGGGAUAGUAAACAGAUCUGAAUCCCUGCAUUUGGGUGAAUUUUUCUUUUGUAAUACCGUUGAUAUAUCCUCUCAAUUUUUUCUUGUUGAUGCACAAGUUCUUCAAAAAUUUAGCAUAUUUUGGCACCUGCUUGAUCACAUCCAAUAGAGCAAUAUUGAUUUUCACCUUCCAAAACACUUCCAAAAUCUCUCUUUCUUUGUUCUACUUUUUCAAUUUCUCUAACUUGUUAGGAAAAAGAGGCGGAUUAGAUUUAACUUGAAUUGCAUGAUUAGAAAUUACCUUAGGACUUAUACAAUUUUAUCCUUCUUUUUCAAUCUCUUUUUCAAUAUGAUCUUCACUUUUUUCCUUUGGACUGAUCAACUUGGGUUCCUCUAUCUCUUUGCCACUCCUGAGGGUCAUAGUGCUCACAUUCUUAGGGUUCACCUUAGGUUGUCAUAGCAAUCUUCCUUUCACUCUGGCUUCUAGGUGAUUUAUCACAGUCGCCAAUUGACUGACUUGAUUUUUCAAAUUGUAUAUACUCGCCUUCGUUUUCUACUGAAAUUGUAAAGUGUUAGAGGCUAAAGUUUUAACAAUGCCUUCUAAAGAGUUACAUGAAUUAAAAGAUGAAAGUUGAGCUUUUGGCAAGAAUUGAGGUUGGAACCCUUACAGUUUAUUUUGAAAAAAUUCGAUUGCUUGUUCUCUCCAUACUUAAGGUUCGGAUGAUCCCUCGAACGUAUAGGAGUAUGGAUCAUAUUGCUUACGUGACACGGGCACGUUACGAGUCAUAUUCAUUUGUUCAGCACCUUCCUCUUGAAACAUUGGAUGCAUAUCCAUGGAGUGACCUAUAUUCGUGCAAAUUCCAUAUGUCUUGACUUGUUGCGAAUUUCCCAUAGCCAAUUGUCAUACAAAAGAGAUAAGUUCAAAUAAUUGCUGUUGAAUAGAUGAAGCAUUUACCUCAUUCACUCUACGAAUAGGAGUAUUAUUGUGAAACAUUUAUCUUAUUCACUCUACAAAGAGGUGAGUAACACAUUUACAAAUUACACACAAUUAUCAAUAGGAAAGAUUUUACCAAACUUGGUCAGUCUAGCCGACUCACACAAAAAUUCAUACAACUCCACAGAUUGCGCUCACAACUUAACACUUCCACAAUACACCAAAUUUUGCCUACACAACAGCCGGCAACAAAAUGAGAUACCCAAAAUAUCCCCAGAAAAUUCAGUCAUACUACACAAGAUCAAACCUCUUGAUUUUUUUAGAUGGAGAUGAUGUCCACUUACAACUUAUCGUUAGCCUGAUGCUUUUUUGACUUCCCUGAAAAUUUAUUUUUGGGUUCACAAGAUAGAAUAGGGCACAUAUUAUAUGAGAAACUUUCAGAUUCACAAAUGGGGUUUAUUAAUCUCUCUACAAAUACAAAAUUUCAUAUUUUCAUAAAUCUGCAAAAAUUCAAACUAAAACUAUUUGCACGAUAUUCCAUGAAUUAUGUAUCAUUCACAGUGAAAAAUUUACAAAAUCUAUAUCAUAUGUGACAAGAUUUGAAAUUUUACCAAACACACGUUUCUAGUUUUUAAACAUGAUUUAGCAAAUAUAGUAACAAAAUUCAUUCGCAAAGCAUAUGAACUCCAAAUAAGUUUUCAAAAGGAGUACUCACCUUCAAAUUUCAAACUUUAUUCUCUAACGGAACCAGUUGAGUAUUCACUUUCAUUUUUCUUUACUAAGCUAGAAGCGAAGCUUGCACUAAGCGCGAGAGUUUUAACCUAUGUGAUAAAAUAUUUAUUCAAAUAAAUUUAUAAAAAGAUAGUAAAAUUAGAACUACAUGGUAAUUGGUUUAAUUGAAUCAGUUGAAGUGCAUGAAAUUAUAAGUAAAUUGGCCAAAUCAACAAACUUAUAAACGAAAACAAUUUUAUAAGUAAAAGAAAUAGAAUUAUAGUAGAUAAUCACACCAUACCACAAUAACAAUAACAAAAACAUCAUUAUCUUUGUUACUAUACCAUUAUCACACAAUCAUAGCCAUAUCCAAUCAACUAUAAUGUCAGAUUUAAAUCUUACCUUGGUCAUGAUAUUGGAGUCAAUAAAUAAUCUUUAGUCGUAGUUUAACCACCUGCAACCAUGAAUAUCAGAUUUUGAAAAUAUAGUUAGAAAAUGUAAGAAGGUUCCUAUGGAUAUUCAUAUGUAUGUAUCAUCUAUUCCAUAAUGAAAUUUCCAUAUUCAUACAAUAGCUAUUGAGAAAAUAUUGCAGGAGAAAACUCAUAAUUUUUAUUGUAUCAGUUAAACAUCCAAAACCAAUCGUGUUUAUUAUUAAGUACUUCUUGAACCAAUCAUCUUUAACAUUAAAAUGCUCUGUUAUUGUAGCUAUAAAAGCUACCCAUCAAUUAUAAAAGAAGACAAAGAGCAUUGCAAUUACAUUUGUAAGUGGUUUAAAAGCCAUUUAAAAGCUUGAUAAUCACGUGAAAUAUAAACCAAUUGCAAAUGGGAGGACAUAAUAGUCAAAUCCAACUCAAAUAUACAUUAUAAUGUUGCACAUUUGGUUUAAUCACUUGCAUUUGAUUUUUUUCCCUACCAAAAUUAUCCCUAAAGAUGGCAGAUUAAAAAUUUUCUAAUAGUAACCUACAAACUCCUUUAUAUAUAUAUAUAUAUAGGACUCUCACACUUUUCAAUUUUCCUAGGAUUUUUUCCUAUUUUAUUGUAGCUUCUACUUCCUCCAUCAUGAAUUAGAAUUAUUGAAAAGUUUUUGUAACCUCCCUUUAUUAACUCCCCAAACAAUUACCAUAUUAGUCAUAAAAGAAGCCUUAAUGUCUUCCAAAUAAUUUCCUUAAUCAUUCAAAGGCUCUCAAACAUAAUUUUAAUUCAAUUACAAAUUCUUCAAUUUUUUUACUUUUUCUCUCUACUAAUUAGCAUUUAUUUUAGAUUAACUUUUAGAAUAAUAAUUGUUAACUUAUCCAUUUAUUGUUCAUGCUAAUUUAUCACUUCUCUAAUUAUUUCUAACUUUAAUUCUUGUAAGUUACAUAAAAAUAUUCUGAUAUAAGUUUUAUUGUUCAUGCUAAUUUAUCACUUCUCUAAUUGCUUCUAAUUUAAUAAUUUCAUUUCUUUUUUUUGUAAUAAGUUUACCUGAUCAUAUUCUUUAAAGUUUCUAACGAUUCACUGCUUUAAAGAAAUAGAUCAUAAAUUUGCAAUAAACAAAUCUUCUUCCCAAAUAAAAUUAAUCCCUGAAACAUGGUAAAUUUCAAACUAAUAUGUCUAAAUUUUCAAACAAAAAAUUGUAGGGUGUCACAUUAAGGCCCUUUUUGAUAACUUAGUUUAGCACUUAAAUUUAAUGAAUUCAGAUCUUAUUAUAUUCAGACCAUUUGAUAACCAAAAAUUAAACUUCUGAAUUAAUUAAGUGACACUGAAUUUUCUAGACAAACCUUACUCCAAAAAUUAGGUGAUAAGCUAUUCACUUAUUAUUGAAUGUGAAAUGUACUCAAAUGUAUUAGAUUUAAUAUUUAACAAUUUAAUAAUUUAAUAAAUUCAGAUUUUAGAUUUUAGAUUUCAAAUUUCAGUUUUAUGAAAUGCACCCCAACUCCUAGGGACAUAAGGAAUUCCCAUGCCACAAUUACCAUUGCUCUCUUAAGAAACAAUCUUUUCAUUUUUCUCGUGACACUGGUUAAAUAAAACCAAAGCAUAGAAUGAAAUGGGCCUGCACAAUGGAGUACAAGAUUGUUCUGUGCCAAAUCAUCCGUUGGGCUUUAGAUUUUCUAAUCACGAGAUGGGACAAAAAAGCCUUCAUUUGAUGGUUAAUUAUAAUUAAUUAAAAAAUACUUUAUCUAACAAAUGUCUCAAAGCAAUAGUUAAGAGGGUGUCAAGUGUUAAUUUAAUUUUUGGAAAAAUGAAAUUAAAUUCUACAUCUUCAAAGAGUGGCAAUAAAUAGGAAUGGCGGGUGUCCUUUAGAGGAAAAUUUAAAAAAAAAAAAAACUUUAAAAAAAGUUGUUUAGAGUAACAUCUCGAGCAUGCUGUUAUUGAGUUUCCACGGUAGCAGAUGGAAAAUGAGUACUGUAACAAGGAGGAUAUUUACUUUACACUUUUGAUUUGACAGCCAGAAUAUUCGAUUGCCAUAGAAGUAAUAAUUACUAAAUUUAUUACUACCAUAAAAAGCACAUAACAUUUACUUCCAAAAUCUUUCACUUGGUUUCAUUAUAAAAAAAGGGAGACCCCCUAGACAUCUCUAGGUCAUAAAUCAGUUGAAACUACUUUUCUUGCAGACGAUAAGGUAUAUAUAUCAAUUGAGUUUGACGAUGGCAAAGUCAUUGAUAUUUUUCAUGCUUAUGGUUAGCUUUGUUUGCUUUGCUCCAGGUAUGGUAAAGAUUAUAGAUUCUAGCAAGAUGUCAGUGUCAUCUUUAUUGAUAUCCCAUAUUGUGUUUUUUUUUUCUUUUUUUGUUUCUGAAUCAGAGUUAGUAUAAGUAUAGGGAAAUAUAAUCCAAAAUUUCUUUUCAUUUUUCAUUAUUUUCAACACCUGCAGCUUUUAUAUAUGGAUUCAAUAUAUAUAAACCUCUCUUUUCCUCAUCUAGAGCCACCCCCAAAAGGGUCCAACUAGGCAUGUCAAUGAAUCAGGUCUUACCCAGAUCCAACCUAGACCCACUAUAUUUGGGUAGGAUUUGGAUUUAAUUUCUCAAAUCUAAACUCUAUCCAGAUCUAGACCUUGUGAGAGAGUCAUGGGUCUAGGUAGGGUCUGAUUUUCUAGAAUUAUAUCCAAAUUCAAACCCAUACCAGACCUUAUCCAGAUCCAUAUAUAUUUAAUUAAAUAAUAAAUAUAUAUAUUAGUAAAUUUAUAAAAUAAACUAAUAUUUUAUGGCUAUUGGAUCGAAUAUAAUAAGAUUGUAUGGCAUCAGAAUCUGCAAUCAGUGUUGUUGGUUGGGUGAUUAUGAGACGCGUGCCAAAUUGCUUCUAGAUAUGGUUGAAACAUUAGUGACUACUGAUGAUUGGAUUGAAUCAAAGAAAAAAUGAAUACGUGCUUGUAAAUCUUCUUAUUCUAUUAUUUAUUUGUCAUCGAUCCUUAGUCAAAUGACUUUUAUCUUAUUCAUUAUUUUAGUGCUGGAUUGCGAGACAUCUAUCAAUAUUGAGGUUUAAAUAAGAAAAAUAGGUACAAAAUUAUAUUUUUUUAAAUAAGAUUAAAUAUUUAUAUAUGUUAUGGUUAUUUUCAUUUUUAAAAACUAAAUCUAGUUGUCAUUGUAAUUGGUACAAACUUUUCAAGAAAAGGAGAAAAGGUAAAGGCAAACAAAUGAAAUAUUGGAUAUGAAUGUAAUUGAAUCUUUGAAAAUAUAUGGAAGUAGUCAAUAAUAAUUCUUGCUUUGAAUUCUUAAUAUUGCAUUCAACUUGUCGAAUGUAACUUUUAUUAUUUGAAAACAAAAAUUGGAUGGUAUUUAUAUUAUUUAUGAACUCUAUAUAUUUUAUAUACAUUUUUACUUUAGUAUGUUCAUAAAAUACCCAUGGAUGCCCAUUGGAUACCCAGAUCCAUAAGGGUCUAGAUAUGGACUUACUUUUUCAAAUCCAAAAAGGUUUAGAUUUGGAUCUGCAUCUAACUAAAUUAAAUGGAUCUGGAUCCAAAACAGACCCUACCCAUUGAUAUGCCUAGUUCCAAUGGUGCUAAACUCCACAUUAAUUACGACUUAGUGCAAAACACACACACACAGACACAGAUAUAUAAUAUGUACCUUUCUUUAUUUUUUUAGGUGUGUUAAUAAUUGUUUUAGGCGUGUUAAUGAAUGUCGUUAGAAAAACCGAUAAAAUAUGUUCCCUUUGUUUCUUUUCUCGACUAGAAACUCUUGUUAAAAAACAAGUAGUACCUACUAUCCGAUCGAAUAUGUUAAUUAAAAUUUGUGACAUGACAAAUUUUCCAUACUUUUUGGAAGAGGUUAUGGAUACUUUUGCAACUAAUUAGAUUGGUUUUACGGUGAAUGCAGUCGAGAAACUCAUCCCUCUCGUCCAUGCUGACAAAAUUUGCGAGACUGAUAUCCGUGGAAAUUGCACGGUUAGAAGGACUCAAGUCUGCUUAGUUCUAUGCUUCAACAAAUUCAAAGGUCGUCUGCGGAGAUAUGAGUGUCGAGAACAAGGAAGGGAAAAUGUUUGUGUUUGCUAUUAUAAUUGUUAGUUUAAAGGGUUUCUUGAUGUACUCUGCUGACUUAUCUAUCAUCAAGCCAAACUCCACAUUUUCUCUUGAUUUUCAGUUUUGCUGAAUAUUCCAUCCAUAGUUCAAUCAAAGCAAUUAAAUCAAAAUACCAUUUUUCAGAUUUUUGGGCCAUUAUUACAACAUCGAUCUGUAUUUAUUCAAAUCUGCAAAUAAACUAACAAGCCAAGUCAAGUUAUAUCCAUGUGAGUGAUUCAACGACGACGAUAAUUAUGUAGAAGAAAGAUCUAUUUCAUCUUUUUAAAGACCUAAUUAUUACUAGGGCAUAUAAAUUGACAACGGAAAGCAGUAAAAUUGCAAAUAUUACCUAAAUCAAAUUGCAAGUAUAAUUAUGUUGCCUGUUUCUCCUUCUCUACUCUCUGACGGCUCUUGCUCUAGGGAGGCAGAUGAAAGAAGGGUAAGGAUGGUGUUAUUUUUCUUUCUAGGGUUUCAAUAAAAUCUUAAACCUAGCACUACCCACUAGUAGGUGGUUUGGAUAAGAGUUUUAGUUUAUUAGGAACCUUUAUCCCAUCCUACAGUUAUUCUAUUUUUAUUUUUUUCUUUUACCUAGUAAUUUUAUCUUUUUAAUUAAUUGGAAAAAUAAAAUAAUAAAACCGGUGCCAAAAAUCGUGGGUUUUACAUUCUACCCCCCUUACAAAAAGUUCCGUCCUCGAAACUUACGUACUUUGAUAAAAAAGAUAUGGGUAUCUAUUCCGCAUAUCCUUCUCUAACUCCCACGUUGCCUCUCGUGGUGUAUGGUUCGUCCAUUGCACCUUCACGUAGGAUAUGAUCCUUCUCUUUAAAUCCGUCCAACUCUUGUUUUGGUCUUGAACUACUUUUAGUCUUUCUCGAAUAACUUAAUUCUCUCCAAGGUUCUUUCCACCAAAUCCGAGCCAGUGAUCAGUUUCUUAUCUACUUCAUCCCAAUAUAAGAGAGAUCCAUACUUUCGCCCAUACAACGCUUCAAACAGUGCCAUAUCUAUUCCGUUAGGAUGGCUGUUAUGAUCCGUGUUGUAUAUAACGUUAAAAUAAGUGCUCCAGUAUUUGGAUUUUGGAAUAAUUUGUGUCCAAACUCCCCGUGAGAAAAUUGAGCUUUUCCUCCCACUCAGAGUCUUAGACAGUUAGACCUGAACUGGCACUUCCUACUGUGGGGGCCCACUAUCACUACCGCCUGGUUUGGACACAAAAGAAGGUUAACGAUUCCAUUCACGAGUUGACACGUGUGCAGUUAACAUAUCCCGCAAUCUCAAUUUUGAUAACGUUAUCUUCCACUGAUUGGUCAACGAGUACACGUGGCCGCCAAUGGCUAAGAUUCUUAAGGACUUAAUUAAGCUGCCAAUGCUAAUCUAUAUGCAGGAAUUCCCAUUGGGCGGGAGAAUGCACCCUCUAUCUCCUGUAUGUAACAUGUUGGACUUGGCAAGAUUCUCUCUCACUCUUUUUUUUUUUUUUUUUUGAUCUCUUGAUAAAGGGCAGAAAUAUUUUAAAAUAAAAGGUCAAACUAUAAGUCAGAAGAAAAAUUCGCAGAAGUGAAAAAAAAAAUUAUUGCAGAACUAAGAACAAAGUGAGCUAUCUUUUCAUUAAUUUGGCAAUCUCAAACGAACGAACAUUUUAAAAUCAAAAUAAAAUGGGUGUGACAAAAUAUAUAUUACUGUUAGCCAAAUGUUAAAUUGGAAUUAGUUUCCAACAGGAAAUGAUGCAUCUGAAAAUUUGUAACCUUUUCUUUUCUUUAGUUUUGUACUAAGAUAGUUUGUAUCUGCAAUCAUAAUUUUUUUUUCCAUUUCUGUUAUGUCCCAUUAUUCCCACAUAUAUUAAAAUAUUUGCGCCUAGUAGGUGGUUUGGAUAAGAGUUUUAGUUUAUUAGGAACAUUUAUCCCAUCCUAUAGUUAUUCUAUUUUUAUUUUUUUCUUUUACCUAGUAAUUUUAUCUUUUUAAUUAAUUGGAAAAAUAAAAUAAUAAAACCGGUGCCAAAAAUCGUGGGUUUUACAAAAAGUAACAAUUGCUUUAUAAAAUGGGAAAUUUUAUAGAAAUGCAUAGCAACUGUUUUGGCAUUUUUCCCAAUUUCUAAUGCUAACAAUAGUCUAAGGUAUAACAAAAAUUUGAGGAUACGAUUAUAUAAACAAUAACAAUACUUGAAAAAUAAAUAUAAAAUAAAAAUCAUGUGUUUGUUAGAACAAUGUAUUCAGCACAAAAUAUCUUGGACAGUGAGAAUAUCCUUAACCUUGGAGGGAAGUGGGGGUGAUGGAGCUGGUGUUAUUACAAGACAUACAGACAGUAAACCUUAUAGAUUAGGGCAGUAUCCCUCUCCUGUGUAAAAAGAUUUCUCACCAAAAAAAAAAAGAAAAGAUAUGCUUCAUCCCUUACAUUUUAGGAAACAAAACUUUUUUUCUUUAUUUUUAAAAUAAAAUAAAUUAGCCCCUCACAUUUUAAAAAUGAAGCAAAUUAAUCCCAGAAUGAUAUCCUGAUAUAGAUUUCAAGGGUAAAAUUGAAACAUCAAUUUAACUUUAAUCAAAUCUAACUAUAUAUGAUAUGUAUACGAUAUCAAGUCAAUAGAAAAAGGAAAAAGAUUAAAAUUACAACAUAAAAAAACCUUCUCUCUUAAAAAAUAAAUUUUUUUUUCAAAAAGUGAUUUUAAAUUAACAUCAAAAGAAAAAAUUAAAAUUACAACAUCAAAAACAAACCAUUCUCUCUAAAAAAGAAGAAAAAUUUAAAAGUUAUAACAUCAAAGACAAACCCUUCACUCAAAAAGUUUAAACAAUUUUUGAAUUAUAAAAUUUUGUAACUCAGGGGUUUUUUUCCUUUUUAUGUUGACCAAUGUGAUUGUCUCAAAAAUUUUUAACUUUUUCUAGGUAGUAUGUUAUAAUUUUUAAUUUUUUUCCUCUUUACAUUGACUUAAUGUCUUUUUAUAGUGACCUUCCAAUUUUAUAUCUAAAAUCUAUAUUAAAUUGUCAAUCUAGGAUUAAUUUGCUUCGUUUUUAAAAUGUGAGUAACUAGUUUGCCGCAUUUUAAAAGUUAGAGAUAAAAAAAUAUUUGUUGCCAAAAGGUAAGGGAUUUAUUAUCAGUGCUAAUAUAUAGUUAAUUGUGUAUGUUAAGGUGUCGUGGUUACGUGGCAUAUUUUAUGCCAAUGUACUGCAAAGGGAUUUUGUUUGUGAGAUAUUACAUUAUUGUCACUACAGACACUACAAGCCAUAUAUUUCGCCAAUAUUAGUGUCAGUUUUCCACUCUGCUCCAAAAAGAGAAAGCAGAGGUAAAUGACGGAAAAUUGACUUGGUCAGAGAGGUACUAUUUUGUUCUUUUUCCUGGUCAUGGCCUACCAAGACUUUACUAUAGUAUGCAAAACCGCGGACCUGUAAAAGUGUCUUGGUCAUGACUUCAGUGUGUAGUUAAUUUAUUAAUGAACACUUGCAUAAUAAGGAAGAGAAGUUAAUGUAUUUAGUCGCAGAGUAGUCUGUAGUUAAAGUCAAAUCCGCGUAUCAAAACAAUUCCGCCUUCCAUUCCACCAUGUGAAUCGAACUGCUUUGUUUUUGACUGAAAUAAUUGCUCUUGCACAAGUCAAUGAAGAAUUAAGGAUAAAACUGGAAGAGAAAAUGAACCACGAGAAUCCAACCUCUCUUCUGAGAUCAGUUAAAACAACAGCUUGUUGGAAGUAAAGCUCGCUUCCGGCUUAACCAAGAUGGCUGACCCUGUUAUCUCUUUUGUAAUUGAGAGAACUGGCGAUCUUCUGAUUCAAAAAAUUGUUUUCCUGAAAGAUGUUCGACAACAAGUUGAAAGACUCCAAAAUGAUCUGGUCCGGAUGCGGUGUUUCCUGAAAGAUGCUGAUCAGAGGCAAGAUGAAGAUGAGAGGAUCCGCAACUGGGUUUCUGAAAUCAGAGCUGCGGCCUACGAUGCGGAGGAUGUCAUUGAGAUCUUCGCCAGCAAAGUUGAGUUCUUCACAAAGGACCAGGGACUCAUCACCAAAUUGACGUAUUAUCCCUUGAAAAUUGUGAGCCUCUACGAGAUAGGCAAAGAGAUCGAAUCCUUACGGAUGAGGCUCAAGGAGAUUGCUGAUAGCCGCGUAGAGUACGGUAUCAAAAAUCUUGGAGAGGGGAUGACUACACAUGGAGAAGAGCUUCAACGGCUCCGACGAUCCUCUCCAAUUAGUGAGGACAAGGAUAUUGUGGGCUUCGAGAAGAUGGCAAAAUCCCUGGUGGCAGAACUCUUGAAAGAGGACAAAAGCCGCCGUGUGGUUUCAAUCGUCGGCAUGGGAGGUGCUGGUAAGACAACUCUAGCCAAAAAGGUUUAUAACUAUGCUGAUAUCAGGGCAAGAUUCAAUUGCCGUGCUUGGGUCUGCGUCUCUUCAAGCUACGACCACAAAGAGAUGCUGAGAACAAUCAUAAAGCAACUGAAUCCGAUAACUAAAGAGCUGCUUGAAUUGUUGGAAAAGAUGCAGGAGCAGGACUUGGAAGAAAGGCUGUAUAAAGAUCUACAAGACAAAUGUUAUCUUGUGGUGCUUGAUGAUGUAUGGGAGGUAGCAGCGUGGGAUUGUCUUGCCAGGAGGGCCUUUCCUGAUGUUGGCACAUCAAGUAGAGUGCUACUUACAAGUCGCAAACGGGAUGUCGCCCAACACGCUGAUGCUUAUAGACACCCGUAUGAGUUGAAAACUUUGGGGCAGGAAGACAGCUGGCAGUUGUUCCUCAGAAAGGCAUUAGGCCAUGGAGCUAAUGCUGGGUGUCCUCCGGAUUUGGAAGAAGUAGGCAGAGAGAUUGCAAGGAGAUGUGGCGGUCUACCACUGGCCAUAACGGUUAUAGGUGGCCUGCUACUAGGCAAGAAUAAGUCGAAUACUGAAUGGGAGAACGUUCUCAACAACUUUGGCGCAUACCUAUCAAGGAGCCAGAGUGAAGCAGGGAAAAUUAGUGAAGCAGGGGCAAUUCUGGAAUUAAGUUAUGCAGACCUCCCUGCCAAUCUGAAAUUUUGCUUUUUGUAUUUGGGUUUGUUUCCGGAAGACUCCGUGAUUUCUGUGCACAAGUUGAUCCAUAUGUGGGUUGCUGAGGGAAUAAUGCAGAAAAGAGAUGCAAAAAAUUUGGAGGAAACUGCAGCAUAUGAAGAUGUGGAGCGACUUUGUAGCAGAAAUAUGGUCCAGGUGGCGGAAAUGACGGUUGAUAAGAGGAUUAAAAGCUGCAGAGUCCAUGAUUUACUGCGAGAGCUUGCAAUCAGAAAGGCAGAGGAUGAAAAUUUUUUUCAAAUCCAUGGCACCAGAGAUGAUAAAAUAUCAGCCAAAUCCAGGUACCUUGCUGUUCAUAGUCUCCCUCUGGAUGAAAAUUAUUUUGGAUCUUCGACCCCUCCUCUCCGGUCUCUGCUUUUUUUCAAUGUCCGCUAUCACAGGAAAAACAUUAGUCUUAUCUUCAAAAGUUUCAGAAAGCUCAGGAUACUAGACCUCGACGAUGCUUGGAUGUACUCUAAUUUGCCAAAAGAAAUUGGUGAGGUCAGGCUUCUAAGGUACCUCAAUUUAAGAGGCACAUACAUUACAAGGCUCCCUCGUUCCGUCGGUUGCUUGCGAUACCUACAAACUCUUGACAUACGGGCAACGAAAUACACCAGUUGCAGAGUGAAAGUUUCAAAUUUCAUUUGGAAGCUUGAAAGUUUACGGCAUCUAUAUGCGGAUGAGAUGGAAUGUGAUGUGCCUCUUAAGAUUGAAGGAUUGAGGAAUCUCCAGACUCUGUCAGGCAUACGCUUUGAGGACGUUAUGCACAAUGACAUGAUAACUCUGACAAGUCUUCAGAAACUGGGGAUUGUAGUGAAUGACAGGUCAGAAAUAUACAAACUCUGCAUGCAUUUAUCUGAGGUUGGAAGCCUAAAGACGUUACGUCUUUGUCGGUAUUCGGGAACGCCAGAAUCUCAAGGUGGACUUUCUAAGCUCCGUCAUGUAACAGAGCUUAAGCUAUCCAAUUGGACAAUGCUGCCUCCUGAUUUCCCUCCAAAUCUCUCUCGCUUGUCUUUGAAAAACAUAUUUCUCGAGGAUGACCCAAUGCCAGUACUGGAGAAGUUGGGACAGCUAUCGUUCCUCAAAAUCAAAGUUGCAUUUGUGGGACCACAGCAUAUGGUCAUUUCUAGGCAUGGGUUUCACCAAUUGAAAUUCCUUGAGCUCAACCACCUAGUUGUUUUGUAUGAAAUAAAGGUGGAGGAAGGUGCACUGCCACAGCUCCAGUGCCUGAGAAUCAGGGAUUGCGACAGAUUAUGGGAGUUGCCGGAAGAGCUGAAGCACAUAUCUACUCUUGAUACGCUUGAGCUUGUGGACAUGCCAGAAGAUUUCAUCAGUGGGCUUGAUGCGGACCUGGUAUCCAGUGUCCCUAACCUCAGAAUAUUUGACUCGCCGAAGGAAAGAAUGUAAUAAUUAUUUCAAUUUUCAAGUUUUUGUAUUUCGCGCAUAGAAUGGAAGGUAUGUCGUGUAGUGAUUAAUGAAAUUAUUUCAAGUUUUUAUCAAAAUACAUAAAUAAAAAGAAUGUUUCCGUAUUUGUUUUCCCCAAUUCACAAGCUUUUUAAGUCCUUUGUUUUUUUUUUUUUAAUUAUUUGAAAUCUCACACUACAUCUUAUAGGAUUUGUCUUUCUAUAAAUUUACAUAUUAAUACAAGUAGUAAUUAAAAAAAAAAGAAAAGAAAAUCCUGAUAGUAAACUCUUGGGACUUGUAAAUGUCGAAAUCAAUAAAAAUAUGUAGAGUUGUUUGGUUGAUUCUAAUUUUUCCAAUGCUGUCCAAACCGAAAAAGAGAAUAAGGAAAUAAAAGGCCCUAUUCGUGCACUGGAAGAGAAAAAAGAAUGAAGUUGGCAAACAAAUCGCAUAUAAAGUGUUGGUCCGUCUGAAAGUGAGGAUUGAUCGCUUCCUAAAUACUACUCGCUGUACAAAUAAGAUAUUAAAAAUAAAAAAAAAACCAAAUUGGUCAAUUUUGAGUUUGUAAAUGGAUACCUUACUAAACUUGGUCUUGAACCAUGAUUUGACCAAAAAAAAAAAAAUUAUUUACUCGCAUCACAAAUGGAUACCUUGAGAUUUUUGGAUGUUCAAGUUACAAGACAUGAUUUUUACCAUAGAAUAAUUUUUUAAAUCUUUAGGAUAAAAUAAAGUGGCAUAUUAAUAUUUUUUCUGUCCAACAUCUUGACCUCGUGGCAUAUACAAUAAUUUCUUUUUCCUCUACUUCUUUAAAAACGAGAUAACAACCAUUUUUUUUUUUAUCCUAAGAUUUUGUUUUAUGAUGAAUAUUGCAGUUGAGAGAUUCAUUCCCCUCGUCCAUGCUGACAAAAUUUGCCGGACUGCAUUUGUUCGAAUGAAAUUGUCUCGUAGAAAUAAAUAAAUAAAAGGGCUAUAACCUGUUGCUAUCAUAUACAAAACAGGAGAGAGUAAUCUACCUCGACCCUACAUUGAGGUUUGGUCUUAUACUAUUGAGUGAUAAAAGACGCACAUAAUUAUGUGUCUUAAGAAAAUAGGGAAUUUCGCCAUUUUCGUCCCUAAACUUUUACAUUAAAACCAAUUUCGUCCUUUAUGAUUUUUUUUAGCCAAUUUAGUCCUUCGACUAUUUUGAAUUCUCUAAUGUAGGACUUUUGCAGCGGCGACACCAUAUUUUACAUAGUCCGUACAACUGGUGAUGGGUAUAUCUGUCAUUUUAAAUUAGAUUCUUCAAUUUAGACGGACCGUUGACCAUAGUUCUUCUUCUCCGAUAGAAAUCUUAUCCCAUUCACCAAAAAUUCGCACAAACUGUGGAAAUCUCAUCCCAAUACUACUAACCGUCGUGGCAAUUCUUCAAUCAAUAGUAGUGUAACAAUCUGUAAUCAGCAUUGCAUAACCACAGCAAAUAAGGCACUGUCACCAUCUUGAAGGAGGGACAACCCAAGGACGGAGGGACCCCAAACCAUAUGCGGUCGUUAGAUUUGAUGCGUCGCUGUUUUCAUCGGACGAGGAAAGGCCCGGCAAGAAUUUCUGGGUCCAAUCGUCUAUAGUCCCAGCGUUUAGCGGUUCGAAAUGUUCCUGAGACAAGACCAAAAAAAUCCGGUGUCCAAAUUCUCAAUUAGUCCUAGUAGCUAUAGGCAGGAGGGGGCGCGGCGCCGGUUGUUUCUGGAACUGGAAAUUUGGGUUAGAUGCAAUACAACAAACAUAUCCAUUCCGACAAAAUAUUCCUAACUCAAUCGGGUGGGUCUUGCAAAACUGAAGCCUAGAAAGUUGCCAAAGCCUUGCAGAGUCAUCAGAUCACCAUUGAAACCCCCCCCCAACUCUCUCUCUUCUAACAGGUUAGAGAGAAGGAAGUUAACUUGCACCCACUCCCACAUCAUUUGUAGUUUACAGUUUGCACUUUGCAGCUGAAGUUGGAUGCAGCAGCUGAAGUUGGAUGCAGGAUAAGAUGUCGGGUAGCUGGUAGCCUGGCACCCCAACAAAAAAAAUGUAUCUAAUGUUCAAUGAAAUUCAUCGGAGAAAAAGAACUAUGGUCAACGGUCCGUCUAAAUUGAAGAAUCUAAUUUAAAAUGACAGAUAUACCCAUCACCAGUUGUACGGACUAUGUAAAAUAUGGUGUCGCCGCCACAAAAGUCCUACAUUAGAGAAUUCAAAAUAGUCGAAGGACUAAAUUGGCUAAAAAAAAUCAUAAAGGACGAAAUUGGUUUUAGUGUAAAAGUUUAGGGACGAAAAUGGCGAAAUUCCCUAAGAAAAUAUUAUACGAAAUCUAUAUUUAUCUGUACAAGUAUAUAUGGGGCCAUUGUUAUGAACUCUGACUUAUAAUUAUAUGGCUUCAUUUGUUUGCCUUUUAUUUCAAAAUCUUAGUGUCAAAGCCGAAGUCAAACAGCUAUCAAGUGAACUCAAAUAUACAUUUGUGGCACACAUGUUUAAAAUUUGAAUUAGACUCUAAAUUUUGCACAUAUGAUAUACAUCUAAACCUAAUGAUUCAUACAUAUAUACAAAAAUACACACACAUAUAUAUUGACUAUGUAUUUAUAGGUAAGUAUAUAUGGGUGUUUAUAUACAUGCAUAUAUACAUAAAAUUUUUCAUGUUUCUUAGAGAAAUACACGCAAUGAAUUAAACAUUUUGCAACUUUUCCUGUACAGAUGUGUGUGUGUGUGUAUAUAUAUAUAUAUAUAUAUAUUUGUAGAGACUGUAUAUAUUUUUUAUUUUGAUAAAUAAAGAUGCAAAAUUUUAUUAAUGCAAAAGGAAAUCUGCAUUAAUAACGGAAAUUACAAUGAUGGAGGAUCAUAUAACCGUAGAGAUGAUCCAGAAACAUUUCUAGCAUUACGAUAUAAAUACAAGCAGGAGAAUUAAAACGUGUAGGAACUCAAUAUUUUUCCAAUACAGGUACAUCAUCAAAUUGAAGAAACUAUAUAAGGUACCUAGGUAAGAAAAACUAAUAACAAUUAUUAAGAUCAAACUUCAAACAUGUAUUAAUGGUUGUUUCAUUAAACUUCCUAGACAUAUAAAAAAAUUAUUUUAACACUCCAGCAUAUUGACUGAAGUCACUAAUAUCCUUUUAUGCCUUUCUAGAAAAAAUCAUUCUCUAUUCAUUCUUUCUUAGACAAAACUUCCUCCAACUCUUUCAUGGGAGAAAGAUUAGAUUUUCCUGAUCUUUUUCUAUGGGAGGAGCCCUCUCUCUAAUUUUUUUUUUUUUUCAUUUGUAUGAAUAAAGUUUCUUUUAAGGUUUUCUAUAGUAAGAAUUUCUUCUUUUCUAGGGUUGUCUAGCGAGAAUUUUCUCCUCUCCUUGGGAAGUUCUAGUGAGAGUUUUCGAUAGUUUUCUCAUUUUCCUUUUAUUAGAUCCAAGUUUUUUAGGUUUUGAUUAUCAUAUCUAGAAUUUUUUGGGUUUAUUUAGCAAAUUUCACUGUAAUAUCUAAAUUUAAAAUAGUUAAUCAACAGAUCUAAUGAUUGAAAGCAUGCACAAAUAUUCGUAGGGCUGCAAUCAUCUUAUCUAAUUUUUAAAAAUAUUUUUUGGAGAUUUCCAUUACAACUUUUAUUUGUUCUUUAGAUCUAUAAUAUUCAUUUUUCAAAUCUAUUCUUUGAUAUCUCUAUAUGUUUGAUGAUAUAAUUUCUGCCACUAAUCCAAAUUUUAAUGAAAUUACAAUGUUUAUAGUACAAUUAACACAAGAAUAGAUAUUGAUUUCUAAAAUCUUUGUUCUCUAUAAGAGCUUCAAAAUUUCGACUUUAGUCACCUUGAGAAUUUUUAUAUACACGUACUUAAAUUGCAUACAUUAAGCAGCUUUUAAAGGCUGUGGAGUGUGUCUCCGGAUGCAGGGAGAAAUAAGAGUUGUAUCUGAAUCUAAAAGGCAGAAAACAAUUAUAUGCGGUGAGCGUGGAUCGAACACGCGACCUUCAGAUCUUCAGUCUGACGCUCUCCCAACUGAGCUAUCCCCGCUUGCCGUUUCAAGCUUAAAUUGCCUAUAUUAAGCUGCUUUUAAAGGCUGUGGAGUGAGUCUCCGCAUGCCGGGAGAAAAUAAGAGUUGUACAUGAAUCUAAAAGGCAGAAAACAAUUAUGUGCGGUGAGUGUGGAUCGAACACGCGACCUUCAGAUCUUCAGUCUGACGCUCUCCCAACUGAGCUAUCCCCGCUUGCCGUUUGAUGCUUAUCCUGUUUCGUCCCUUGUUACAAUUAGACAGUUGCACGAAUGCCAGUUCUUCAGCUUCAGGAACCUGGAUUAACGCCUAGUUUGAAUCUCCAAUUUGCCAAGAAAGUCGAUGUUCAACCUGAAUAUAUCAUCUCAUCAACUAUUUUGAAUCAAGCAAAACAAGAAAUACAUUCUUCAAAAAAGUUGACAAACCACAUAUCUAAGCUAACAAGUCCAGGACAACAGGAUACGUACACCAGCAACCAGAUAUGACAUUUUUGCAGAAUAAAAUGUCGAAUUCAGUUUAGUCAGCGAGUUAACUGUAAUUUGCAGCAGAAUAAAUCCAUACCUGUAGUGCAUUUUCUAUCAACCGAAAGUGCUUUUUCCAGCAUCCACGAAUUAGCAUAUCCAAAACUUUUCUGGAUUUAGAACAUCCGAGUAAUGCUCUGGCCAUUCCCUCUUCUUAUGUAGUUGCUAGUAGAAUCUCCCUCUCGACCAACUGUAGUACUUCCUUCGACCACCGACUAAACUUUCGCACGACAUUUCUAGUUAUUCUCUCCUCAAACUUGGUGCUCCUCAGCCAUGCCACACCAACGUAGGCAUCACACUUGCAAGUCCCUUGAGCAAGAGCAGGAUUCUCGAGCUCAUAUUUUAGUUGCACCUGUUUCAUGGAAGAGGGCGGCAGACGAAAACUCAAUUCUGUUCUACGUGCUUAUCCAUUAACAAGAAACAUGAAGAAAAUAAAAAUCCCACUUCUUUUACCUUCGUCCCUGAUAACUGGGGAAGGGAGGGUAAAGCAAUUUCAAUGUACUCACACGGAAGUAUUCACCGGAUGGAACAUCAUGAAGGGUCAUAAUCUCAUUAACAAUCCAACCGCUAUCACUGGAAAACGGCAUCUUUUGCUGUGUGCAAGUUACCUCCCCUCCAAAAACUGAGAUGCUACGAUCAAAUUUGUAAGAUGUACGUCUUUCGUGUACAUCAGGUGUUACUGGUUCCCAUGGAGUUGUGGUGUAAUUCAGGCAUCCGGACUUUGCCAUCACUCUAUACUCGAAGUCUCCACCAUCAAACAUCUGCAACACCAAUCUUAUCUGUUGCAUUGGCCGUGAAAGUUUCAAUCACUACUUUUAUCUUUUCAGAGGAGCAACUAUUAAUUUGAUUGACAGAUUAAGAACAGAAACAUUUCAAUGAAGGAAUAGAGCUGAAAUAAGGAAAACUAGUGCUGCAAGCAGGUGAAGAUACAGACAAGGAAACGCAUAGAAAACCUGUCUCCAAAGCAGAAAUAAACAUCUACUGGGCUAAAACAGAAACAUGAGGAUGAUUCCUGCCAUUUGUCACCAUACUAGAUAGAUGCCAAGAGAAAGGUUGCAAAACAAUAGCGUAAAUUAGGCACUUCCAAGGACCAGUUAUGGCAUUGGGGGAAGCAUUUUGUUGCUAUGUAUUGGGGAACCUGUUUCUUGUUGCAUAUCUUUUUUUCUACUUUCCAGCUUCAAGUACUGCUGAAACAACUUACUAAGUUUAAUAAUGGUUGAACAUAUCUAUUCUUGCUAGAGGGCUGACAUAUACACCGUAAUGCUGUCAUACUCUGCAUCAAUUUUUGUCUAGCAAAUCUUAUUGAGUGGAUAGAAUAAAAUUUUAAUAUAAGCACCUGUGACAGAUGAAAAUUGUAUCAUUUUAAGCACAAAGAAUGAGGUACAUACAUUUACAGGAAGUUCCACACUUAAAACCUUGGCCAAUUUAGCAUCUUGGAUAAUCAAAUAGGAACCGGGGUCUUCAAACAAGCUGGGCUUCUCAUCUCUGUCCUGUUGUUCCUCUGCAAUCUGUGCUCUCUCAUCAGGACCCAAUGUUCUCGUUCCCCACAAAGCCAUUACUGUCCUGAGAAAUUUCUAAAAUUAUGAUGAUUUUUAAAAAAAUUCUACAAAGGGAGCCUUUUUUGUAUGGAGUUCCGUCAAGGGGGUCUUCGCAUUCAGCAAAUGCGAGCUCAAGGGAGCUCGCAUUUGCUGAAUGCGAGGUCUCCCUGAAUUUUCCUACCAUCCAAAUCAAAAAAAAAAAAAAGAAAAGAAAAACAGACAUAGAGGUGUUUUUUUUUGAAAUUUUGUGAACAAAAGAUCUUCCCCUUCAAGUGCAGAUGAUGCAGAAAUGAAGAAGUUACUUAUACAACCCAAAUUCAGAUCGGAUUUCGCUCAUGAAAGCCAGAUAUCCAACCCUGGCUCGAAAUGUUCACCCACAUUUUCUGCACAUUUUCUCUUUUUUUUUUCUACUGAUUUUCUCUCCCUUUUUGGCUCCCCACAGUCUCUCUUCCUCCCUUACUCUCUCUCUGCUUUUCCUUUCUGCUUCAACCGUCACUUCUCCUUCAAUCUCCCCUUUCUUUCUCGGUACUUUUUCUUUCUCCUUUGCCCGCUGCUACCCGAAGCUCUUUCUUUGCUUUUUCCUCACUCAGUCCAACCCUGCCAUUGUUGUCGAAGAAUGAACAGUUGCUUUGCAAUUCAAUACUACUGCUGCUUGCAUUGCUGGUGCUGCCAUUGUUAGCACUGAUUGCGCAAGCAUCCCAGUUCGGGAAUGCGAGAGUUUGGUCUUUUUUUUUUUUUUUCCAAACUGAGCUCGCAUUCGCGGAAUGCGAGCUCAGUGACCUCGCAUUCCACGAAUGCGAAGACCCCCAUUUCAAGAACAAAUGAAAAAAACCGCCCCACUUGUAGAAUGAUUUUUUUUUUCAUCACAAACCAAGAAUUCUCCCUUACUGUCCUGUUAGCAUGCAGCCAAUUUUUACCACCAGAUCUGGUUCGUCACAAAGAAAGAUCAAAGCAAUCCACUAUGAAAAUUCACAAGAGAAUCCUGCACCACCCAUACCUGCUAGCAACGUUGAAGGAGAUGAAUGAAUGAAAAUAGAAAUGCAGCCUGCCUUCCUCAUCUUGAUACUUUGCACCAUGUCUAGCAUCAUUACCAUGACCCUUAGACAAAAUUAUGGCAAGUGAAGGACUUCUUACUGUUCCUAGGGUCGGAGGAAGCUCGUGAAUAUGUUCAAUGUCCUCCCAUAGAAAGAAAAACUUGGUCUUAUGUCCAAACAAGUUGGCAUAGAAUCCAACAAUUCUUGCUGAUAGAAAGAGCCGUCCCUGGAGCAAGUGAAUAAUAUGUUAGACUAGACUUGUUCGGUCUUGCUUAGAAUAGAGGUAGAUGCUGUCACAGACUCAGAGAAUGUAGAGCGACAUGGCCUGCUGCGAAAAAAAAUAGGAGAAGAAAAAAUACAGCAGAUUUAACAUUUAGGACUCCAUGAGGAAUUUUGGCCAUCAUUUCCUCAAUAGUGGAACAUUAGGACCUUUUAGUUUGGUAACAUAUUUUCUGUUCAAUCCAGAUUUCUUCAUAAUUAUAUACUAAUAAGUAUGCAGUCCAAUAAUUUCUUCAAUAUUAAGUUUGUUAGUUCAUUAGACUUAUCGAUCACAGGUGAUCAUCACAUUGACUCCAAUAAGGAAUAAUUAGCAAAAAGCUCAGGCAAAUAUUACCAACAUGGAUCAGAAACCAUAGAACCAUCAAAGCCAAAACUUCUACAGUUUUUUUGAGGCAGUCCAAUAAAGUAAAAAAGAAAAGCUAAUUCUAAAACUACAAGACAUCAUUGUAGACAUCACUUUUAUCAAAUAGAAAAUUUACACCCAGUAAUCUAUAAAAGCUAAUUCUAAAACUGCAAGGCAUCGUUAUAGACAUCACUUUUAUCAAAUAGAAAAUUUAUAUCCAGUAAUCUAUAAAGUGUAAUGUUAGAUGCAUUUGCAUUUCCUCAUGUAUCUUGUCAAAUAAUAAUGACGAGGAGAUCAAGCUAAACAUUUUAUAAAUCAACCACAUGUCCACCAAGAAAACUUUAUCUCUGGUAUAAAUAUUUAUUAGUUCUCCUUCCUACCAAUGGUAUUGAAAAAAGAAAAUUGAUGAAAGCAAUACAAGCAAUAUCCUAGUAACCUUACCUGCAGUGGCAUCUUUCUCUUAAGGGAGCAUGAGAAAUCACUAAUGAGAAACUCUUCAGGUGGCAAUCCAAAAAUCUUUUGGAAUGCUGAAUUUCUGUGCAGUGAUCGGAGGUUUAACUGCCACAGACAAAUCAUGUAGAUAACACAUAAUUUCAAAAGCUCUAGAAGAUGAAAUAUGUGAUGGUAUGAAACUUUUAUACCUUCUUUCCUACUUCCUUUUCCAUCUUUUUUAAAUAAUCUCUAAUUGUUUCAGCUCCAUUAGUAUUGUUCAAAAAGAUUCUCAGAUGCAACUUUGACUGAGAAGAUUGAGCAAGUUUUCCAUCUAGGGGAACCCAUAUAUCUGCCAAUUCUGUUGACGUAUGCUUCAAAAAAUUAAUUUCAGCAUGGCCAAGAGAGCAAGCUUGAUCAAAUGGGCCGUCAAAAUCAAGAACUUCCACAUCCAACACUGAAGGUGGUUCUUCUGAAGCAUCAAAUUCAAGUAUUUCUGCACAUUGUAUCGAAUGCAAGUUGUCACAGUGUGGUAUUUUGAUUACUAGUUAGAGUACGCAAUAACCAGAUUUAGUAAAGUAUCAAACCAUUCCAAUGGGGAUCGAGAGUUUGCAGCUUCACAGAGCUUGUCCUCGAUUUGCCAUUACAGGUGAAUACCACAUAAGGAUCUGGUAAUUCAGUUGAAUCUAAAGAAGCUAAUUUGGCACCCUCAAUCAAAGCUAUUGUAAGUACCCAACCAUCUCCUUGCGCUUUGACUCCAUGAUCACUUCCUGGUAAACAUUUUAUUUUCAGUUAAACUACUAAACAUGAUAUAUAUUAGAUAUAAAUGAUAUGCUUUAUGAACUGUUACCUCUUUUUAGCCUUGCUUGCACAAAAUGUGAUACCAUAUCAUAAACUUUCUCGAGUUGGAUGACUAAAAUUGCAGAGGUAAUAAUUUCCCCCACACUAUCAGGUAAAUCAAGGCCAUCAAAUUCUAAACCUUGAAGCUUGAACUCUCCACAAAGCCAGAUGUGAAAACUGAUAUAUAGAACCAUGAAUAAGGCUGCAACCACUGUAAAAUUCCAAAAAUAUUCAGUUGCUAGUUCCCAAUCUGACUGGCGCUCCUCCUGCAAAGUUGCUACCGUAUGCCCCUUAUCUGACAUAUUUACAAGAUUUAUCACUUUGAGAUUUUUAGCUAGUAAGUCGGAGAACUGUUCAAAACUCCCCUUCAAUCCUUGCCUGGCUCCUCUUUCAAUCAGGCCUUUCAUCAUAGUGCUUUGAUGGAAGUUUAAGGCCCAGGAUAUGACAAGAUGAGCAGAUUUUUCUAUAGAAAAUAGCUCCGGCCCUGGAGUUAUCUUGUAAAGUAGAUCAACCUUAAAUGUGUUUCCAUAUGGAACUUCAGGCAUAUUAACAUCUACAAAGACAAUGAAUUCUUUCCCAUUGGCCUUUAUAUAAGUUUGCUCUUCAGUAGCUUUAACAGUCUUUACUAAUUUUGUUGCUGCUUUGGGGUAGGUAACAACUCGUGCUAAACAUGAUUUAUCUGCGGAUUUCCAUGUCCAAGGGCCCUCUUGAACAUCCGUUGUUCCCUGCAAUUCUGCAAGAUCUCUCAUGAAUUGCGACUUGGGAGCAAACAGAAGCAUGUUGAGAUCUUUAGGUGGUAUUGCAUAUGCCUGAUCCAAAAGGAUGCCUCCCUCUAGGUUCUCUGGCAUGUCUUUUUGUUCAUUACUUGAUUGCAGCAUUUCAAUCAGCUCUUCAAAGUUACUGUUACUGGUUGGCUCAGCCAAGUUUUCUUCAUUAUCAGAAAUGGUAGUUGAGAGCUCAGAUGAAUCCUCAGUCCCUGAUGCAUCUUCAUUUUUGUGGAAAAGCUUCUCUAAGCGACCAGCGAUAACCUUCACUAGAUGUUUCCCUUCUAAAAUCUUCUUUGUUGGAGGAGUACAGCUAAAAAUAUCUUGAGAUGAAACACAUUUAUCUCCAUACUCAUCGGUGUUUUCAGCUCUGCAACUUGGAUGUACAUACAAGAGACGGUCACUGCAUACUUGCUCACCUCUCCCUUGCAGUGACAGUGUCAGAAGAACUUUACCUGCAUUCAUUCAUAAGGUAAAGUCAAAUACAACUGCUUAGUUGGUUUAUAAACUAAAAGUCAAAUACAACUGCAUAGUUGGUUUAUAAACUAAGUUAUUAGGUUCAAUGGGAGAGGCAAUUAAAUCCUCUUAAUCUCCUUUUCACUGCCAUAUAAGAAUUGUAAAGCAAGACACUGCCAAAUAAUUCCAUGAAAAAAUUACUUCCCCUUUUUCACCUUAACUGUUUAGAAGCAUCGAAUCUUUUAAAAUCAUUUAAACAGAUAUACUAGGAGACACUACUAGAACUGUAAUGAAGUUGCUAUUGCAUGACUUUAUCUGUAACAUUAAGAAACAAAUAACAUUAAGAAACAAAUACAUUUAAUGGAAUCAUUUCAAAUAAACAGACUGCAUAUUAAGCAGAACGCAGAAACGGCUAAAAAGUAGAAAAGCAAGCAAAAGGAACACAUCCAUUUUAAAUCGUUUUGCACAAUGUCUACAAGACCAUGAUACUCAGCUAUUCUAAGGAUUAUGAGCCCCUCUUAUUUGAUCAUCACACGGUCCGUCCACUUCAAAAUGAUCAAAAAAGGUCAUUACCUCCAGCUCCAGGCAGACAAAGCGCAUGUACGAGGAGUUGAACCUGCAACAAGGCCUGUAGUGUUCAACAGUAUUAAUAUACUCAUAUUUACGACAACUGCUUUUGGGAUUUUGCUACUCAACUACUCACAUUUGCUGAAUUGCUGAAAAAUUUCCCCAAUGUGAAAGGCUAAGAAAGCCAACAGUCAUGAAAAUCAGUUCUGUUUAUAAAGAUGAUUACUAUCCAAUCUAAUAGGGCUUGGUGAGAGUUGGUUCAGGGCUUGAAUAAUGCUACUUCUGCUAAAUGGACUUUGCACAUGGUCCAGUACAGCUACAAGCUGGAUGAAGGCAGAGAGCCAGUUCAAUGCCUGCUGCAGCCUGCUUAUAUGAGGAAGCCUCAAUGAAAUGUACCAGCUCAUAAGAUGGCAAUACUUAACUUCAAGAAACGUACUGGAUGGGACAGGAGUACAGAACAACUUGGAAGAGGAUGCAGUGUUAAGCACAAAGAAGGGAACUUUGCACCAUCCUAUUCUCCUAAGAGACAAAAAACUACAGCUUGAAAGCAUAUAACAUUUGGACCUCUUUCUUAAACAUUUCUGAAAAUUGGUGGACCUAGAAAACAUAAGUCAACCUGCUAUAAUUAUUUGCACAGAAUGGUAAUAUUGACCAACAAUGUUUUCUCAGCAGCCUGCACUGAGCCUUCUUGACAACUAAUCAACCUUUAGCAUCACAAGGGCAAUUUUAAUUCUAAACUCUGCAACCUAACCUUUCCUAAACUCUGAACUAGUUGCCCUUUCAGACUUAUUUAUCCAUGAAAUUCAGCUUUGUGCUUAAUAACUUUAGAACUCGUUUGUUUCUUCAUACACAUCAAGAAAAAGAGAACUACUUCAAGAAACAUGCAACCUUUAUUCUCUUUUAUAAUAUAACUCAACAUGUUACUAGUCAAUAAGGAAACCCACGAAAAGGACGACCUGCCUAACUAUUGCAGAAAAUCUCGCUUUAAUUUUUAAGAUACCCAAUCAAUCUGUGAUAAGCUAUUCUGACUCAUAAAAUUCUUCACAAAUAAACUUGAAUACCCUAUUACUGAAUUUCAUAUAUCUGAGCAUAACCGGAAAAAAAAUGCAGAAUUGAGGACAAGGCCAUUUCACUGAUUUCAACUUUUCUAAUCGAUAAUCUGAUUAACCAAUUCGUCAAAAUCAAAUUGACACCUUAAAUAGGGAUAAUGUGUGCGCAAAUGCUACCCAAGGCCUUCUAAUUCUUGUAAAUAUAGAACCACGCAUGGAAGUGGGCUCCUAUAACUGGUCCUAACAUUCCUAAGGCUACUUUUAAGUUUCAGUUCUGCAAACUGACCAAAAAAAUUAACAGCGGGGAGCACCAAAAUUCUUCUAUAGGAAAGAAAUGCCACUUAGAAAUCAUGUCAUUGUUUCAAUCAUUGAUUUAUCAUCAUGCAAUUAACUGUACCAAUUAAAUAAAAUUUCAAAAUUCUUGGUGCUUGAAGUCCAGUUCAAGAAGCCAAAACCAUUAAAAGACUCAGAGAUUAGCAGUAGGCACAUGAUUUAAACAUAAACAAGUACAUAAAAACAACAAUAACAAAAGCAUUAGCACAGAUUAUCAAAUAAGACUAACAAAACAUACAAAGCUAUACCAUAAUCUUUGUUAGUGGUUGAUUUCAAACUCUUGCGCUUUUGAAGAGAGAACCAAGUGGGAGGCAAGUAGUGGUUUUUCUCAGCAACAAUAGACCAAACUGGAAUCUUAACCCUGCCCACCAAAUCUCCAGCCACAUUAAAGAAUCCAGAGUCUUCAUUAAACUGAUACACAGACAAAACAAGUUCAUCCUCCAAGUCAUGCACUCUGAACACAAACUCUUCAUUCCAAACAGGAUUUCUUGUGUUCUUCAACACCCUUGUCUUAGACUUAGACUUACCAACUUUCAAUUUCACAUAUGAAUCCUUCACUGCCAAGUCCCUCCCCUCCAACAAAUACACAAACAGCCUCAUCAUUUACUUCUUGUUAUUUAAUUUGAAUGUACUAACAAAUAAAUUUGGCUAGCAGAAUAAAAGGGCUGGUGGCUAAUAGCUGAAUGGUUAUUGGAAUUGAUGAAAAACAGGAAAAAAAAAUGUCAGGACAGGUUGCUGGUCUUGUUCUUGAAGAUGUUGGUAGUUUGUACUUUGUACGGGGAAGUGAAAGGGGAUUAUAAGUUGAAGCCCUGAAGAAACGUGGACAGCAGUAGAAAGUGACACGAGGGGAGUUUGGAUCAUUGUUGUGACAAAUGAGUAAUGUGCAAUUUUCUUUAUUGAGGGGCGAAAUGUGGAGGGCGGUUUAGACUUCUGAGUUAAGGCAACUAAAAAGGUCCACUAAAGGGUGCACUAUUUUAUUCUGUCAUGAAUUAUACUAGAUUUGGAUAUGGGACUUGGACUUGAGGUUGCAGCACAUAUCAGAAAAGUUGGAGUUUGUUGGUACGGGGAAACAUGUUGGUUCGAAACUUCGGUAGGUGGAAUAGCUAUGAUGAAUCCCCUUCUGCUGAUGCUUGCCAAGUUUGUUCGGUGGCUUGACUUAAUUAAGACGAGUGAUCGAUGCACACUCAAUAUGCGUGUUAGUGAUAAAAAAAAAAAAAAAUCUUCAGUCAGACUAAUGCAUGUAGAUUCAUUAUUUGACAACAAAAUCUAGGAAUAGCAAAUUAAAAAGGUUAUAACAAAAAAAAAAUUAUAAAAAUCAAACAAAAAAAGUUAAUUCAAGCAAGUGUCGGUAGGCGGGUUAUGUUUAAAUGAUAAGCAUUUUUUUUUGGCCGCAACGAUAGCAAGCACAUACUUUUAUUGAUUGUGUGAAAUUAGUGGUUGAGUUGAAAUGGAUUAGUGACGAGAAAUUAUUUGAAGAAUAAAAAAGAAAUUCUAAAAAGUGACAAUAAAUUGUUUACACCAAAUCACAUGCUCUCGCUUUAUUAUCAUAGAGAUAACCAGAAAGAAAAUUAAAUAAAAAUAAUAAGUUCCUUCAUGACUAAAUUAAUCUAUAUACUUUAGUGGACUUUUUUAAGAUGCUUCUUUGUGGGAGGAGCAAGAUAACUAUUACAUCUAAACGUGUUCGUGUAAAGAGUUUUUACACUUUUAAUGUGAAAAAUAAUAAUGCCCUGUUGAUUAGGCGUAGGUUAAAUAUUAUUACCAACAUAAUUAUAAGCUAGAAACUAUAUUUUUUUUUUACCUAAAACACCUCUGCCCAUAUAAUUUAUAGGCUUAUGAACCUUCCUUUCCGCCAACCUCUCCAAGAAAAAGAAAAAAAAAAAAGGAAAAGGCAAAGAGAAUAAAUUCGAUUUCCUUAAUAGGGUCACUGUGAAUUUUGAAGAGUUGCACUGAAUGGAACAUCAUGAAGGGCCAUAACCUCAUUAACAAUCCAACCACCAUCACCAGAAAAUGGAAUCUUUUGCUGUGUUCCAAAAACUGAGAUACCACGAACACAUUUGUAAGAUAUACGUCUUUCAAGUACAUGAUGUGUUACAGGUUCCCAUGGAGUUGUGGUGUAAUUUGCUGUAGCCGGAAUUUGCCAUCACUUUAUACUAGAAGUCUCCACCGUCAAACAUCUGCAACAGCGAUCUUAUCUGCUGUAUUGGCCGUGAAAAUUUCAAGAAUUACUUUAUCUUUCCAGAGGAGCAACUAUCAGUUUGAUUGACAGAUAGAGGACAGAAACAUUUCAAUGAAGAAAUAAAGCCCAAAUAAGAAAAACUACUGCUGCAAGCAGGUGAAGAUACAGGAGAGAAAACGCAUAGAAAUCCUGUCUCCUAAGCAGAAACAAACACAUGCAGGGCUAAAACAGAUACAUGAGAAUGAUUCCUGACAUUAGUCACUAUACUAGAGAGAUGCAAAGAGAAAGGCUGCAAAAUAAUAGCGUAAAUUAGACACUUUCAAGGACCAGUUAUGGCAUUGGGGGAGCAACCAUGUUGUCACAUAUUGAGGAGCUUGUUUCUUGUUGCAUAUCUUUUUAACUAAGUUUAACAAUGGCUUAACACAAAUAUUCUUGCUACAGGGCUGACAUAUACAGAAAUGCAACAGAAUCUCAUGACACUCUACAAAGCUAUUGUUCCUGGUUGGCUCAGCCAAGUUAUCUUCAUUAUCAGAAAUGGUAGUUGACAGCUCAGAAGAAUCCUCAGUCCCUGAUGCUUCUUCGUUUUUAUUGAAAAGCCUCUCAAAGCGACCCGCAAUUACCUUCAUUAGCUGUUUCCCUUCUAAUAUCUUCCUUGUUGGAGGAGUACAGGUAAAAAUAUCUUGAGAAAAAACAGAUUUAUUUCCAUACUUGUCUGUGUUUUCAGCUCUGCAACUUGGAUGUACAUGCAAGAGAUGGCCACUGCAUACUUGCUUACCUCUCCCAUGCAGCGACAGUGUCAGAAGAAUUUUACCUGCAUUCAUAAGGUAAAGUUAAACACAGCUGUAUAAUUGGUGUAUAAAAAUAAUUUAUUAUAUGCUCAAUGGGAAAGGCAAUUAAAUCCACUCAAUCUCCUUUUUAGUAUCCAAUCUAAUAGAGCAAAACUGAGGACAAGGCCAUUUUACCUGGUUUAAUUUUUCUAAUCGAUAUUCUAAUUAACCAAUUCUUCAGAACCCAAUUGGCACCUCAAAAAGUGUAACAAUGUGCGCAAAUGCCAUCUAAGGACUUCUAAUUCUUGUAAAUAUAGAACCAAGCAUGGAAUUGAACUCCUCUCACUGGUCCUAACAUUCCUAAGGGCCAUUUUCAAGCUUCAUUUCUGCAAACUGACUUAAAAUAUUUAACACCAGGAAGCACCAAAAUUCUUCUAUAGGCACUAAGAAAUCCUCUCAUUAUUUCAAUCACUGAUUUGACAUCAUGCAAUUAACUGCACUUAUUAACCAAAAAAUUCAAAAUUCUUGGUUCUUGAAGAAGUCCAGUUCAAGAAGCCAUAACCAUUAAAUGACUCAGAGAUUAGGCAGUUUGUGUCUAGUUCACAUGAUUUAAACAUAAAUAAGUACAUAAAACAACAACGAAAGCAUUAGUACCAAUCAUCAAAUAACACUAACAAAACAUACAAAGCCAUACCAUAAUCUUUCUUAGUCGUUGAUUUCAAGCUCUUGCGCUUUUGAGGAGAGAACCAAGUGGGAGGCAAGUUGUGGUUUUCCUCAGCAACAAUAGACCGAACUUAAAUCUUAACAUUGCCCGCCAAAUCUCCAGCCACAUUAAAGAAUUUAGAGUCUUCAGUAAACUGAUACACAGACAAAACAAGUUCAUCCUCCACGUCAUGCACUCUGAACACAAACUCUUCAUUCCAAAACAGGAUUUCUUGUGUUCUUCUACACCCUUGUCUUAGACUUAGACUUACCAACUUUCAAUUUCACAUGUGAAUCCUUCACUACCAAGUCCCUUCCCUCCAACAAGCACACAAAAAGCCGCAUCCUUUGCUUCUUGUAUUUCUAUGCAAAUGUACCAACAAAUAAAUGUUGCUAGCAAAAUUAAAGGGUUGGUGGCUAAUGGCUGAAAGAUUAUUGGGGUUGAUGAAAAACAGGAAAAAAGUUUCAGGACAAGUUACAAAUGGCCUUAUUGGGCUUGCUGGUCUUCUUCUUGAAGUGGUACUUUAAAGGGGGGAAGAGGGAGAGGAUUAUAGUUGAAGCCAUGAAGAAACGUGGGGCUCAGUAGAAAGUGACACGAGGGAGAUGGGAUCAUUAGUGUGACGACUGAGUAAUAUGUGCACUUCUCUUUUUUUCAGAGGGGGGGGGGGGGGGGGGGGGUGGGGGGGAAGAAAGUGGAGGGCUGUUUAGAUUUCUGAGUUAAGGCAAAUAAAAUCGUUCACAAGGGGUGUACUGUUUUAGUGCAUGUCAUGGAUUACUAGAUUUGGCUCUGCACUUGACGAGGGGUGUUGCAGAAUAUAUCAGCAAAGUUGGAGUUCGUUGGUAUGGGGAAACAAUUUCGCUCCCAGGUUUUGCAGGUGGAAUAGCAUCAUUCAUACUAUGUUGAGUCCAUAAGGGGUGUACUAUUUUAUUGCAUGUCAUGGAUUACUAUAUUUGGAUUUGCACUUGACAUAACAAGGCAAAAAAAAAAAAAAAAACCCGCAUGAAAAUAUGAAGUUCCCACCAAAAUAAUCUGUAUACUUUGAUAGGUAAUUUUUAAGAUGCAUUUUUGUUGGACUCAAUAUUUCAUUAGCGAAACCAUUACGUCUUAAUCGACUCACGUAAAAAAGUGUUUACACUUGUAAUGUCAAGAACAAUAAUAUCAUAUUAGACAGGCGUAAAUCAGAUCACUAAAUAAUUAUGAGCUAGAAACUAUUUUUUCCUAAAACAAUUCAGACCCAUAUAAUCUAUAGGGUUAUGAACCUUCCCCUCCCCCAACCCCUCCAAAAAUCAGGAGGAAAAAAAGGCUAAUGGAAUUAGUCCAAUUUCUUUAAUAGGAUUACUGUGAAUUUUGAUGAGUUGCACCUGAAAUCGUUGCCAAUUCUAGAAAUGCAUCAUGGUCAAUGUGGUUCACUAUGGUACGUGGAAUUAAAAAUAUAUAUAUAUAUAUAUUGUCUAAAUUACAAUAUAUAUAUAUAUAUAUAUAUAUAUAUAGUGAACAAAGGAAAAUAAGGGAAAAUAAAAAAGAGAUAAUAAUAAGCUUCAUAUUCUCUGGGUCCAAAUGCAGUACUUAGAAAAAUAUGGGGAAUUAAAAGUAAAGAAUGUAAAAUAUGCAACCCGAAAAGCAAAUACCAGACUUUAUUUUGGUAACUUGAAAUAAAAUUCGUCUCAAUCACAAAAACGGGUCGACCUUUGAACUGAAUUGAUAGCUAAAACCGGGUGGAGAAGAGAGAAGAGGAGAACGGUCGACGACUCAGUGAGUGAGCGAGCAUGUUGCAAUUUCCGGCAUUCAUGACUCAGUACCCAUGGUCGACUCGGAUGAUUCCGACGUCGUAUCUGCUUCCAGCUCAGUGGCCUCAGCCCCAAAGCGACGAGCUCCUUCUCUCCAUGGAAGAGGCCGAAUUCGAAGAAAAGGUCAAAAAAUUUCCAACUUCCUUUUUUCAAUAGUUAAUUACAAUCUCCUAUUGUAAUUGAUCUCCAAUUCUGUUUCAAUAAAUUUUUGGAGUUAAGCUGAGUUAUUUAAUUUUCCAAAAUUAGUUUUAAAGUUGCUUGUGUGCUUAAUGUUUUCUAGGGCUUUAAUGUAGUAUAGUGUUUGUAAUUGAUUCUUGAUUAAAUUUAUGGGGUUUAUUUGGUAUGCGGAUGUAAUUUUUAAUUUGGGAACAAAGACAUUUGAUUUUCCGAGCAUUUUGAAGAAUUAAAUUAGGUAAAGAUCCAAAAAAAAAAAGACUUGAAUGAGCGAACAUUGAAGUUCAUGGACUAGAUAGAAGUUUUAGGGAAUGCUUGGCAACUUUGUAAGGGUUUGCUUAAAGAUUCCGGAAAAUGAAAUCUUGGAUUUAAAUUUUCCUUUUUCUUUGUUAAGAUGAGAUUAUGUAUGUAAUUUUCAGAAAAGAAAAGGUAAUGAAGGUAAAACUCAAGAGAUAAUGGCAGGAUUUUGAAGCAAUGCCAUUUUUAGAUGGAAUUUUAUGCAACAAAUUGAGUAAGUUUGAUAUUCUGAGAGUUUUGAAAUCCCAGUAAUUUGAUAUAAAAGAAGGCCUAAGUAUCAGGAAUUCCUUGUUAAGAGAUUCCAGCAAAAAGAACAUAGAUUUAGGUUUAGAAAGAAGAAGAAGGACUAGUAAUGAUGGUACAGGUUUUUAUUACCAAUUUGUCAAAGUUUACAUUGUAAGAUUCUUACUGUUUGUUUUUCUUUUUAAUUCCCGUCUAAAAUAGUUCUUAGUUAUUUGUUUCGUUGAAAAAGGUGUUGCUUAUUAAAACUGUUCUGCAAAAGAAUGACCCCUUGAAUAUUUGCUUCUGUUGCUAAUUGAUAUGCUUGCUGUAAGCCUGAAACUUAGUGUUGCAUUAACAUGUUUCUAAAAUUUGACAUUAAUCAUGCUGAUGGCGACAAUUUGGUGGGAUCUGCAUGUGUAGCUGUCAAAGUUCACCAACUUACUUCCUCCAUGUGUUAUCAAUUUUCAGUGCUGGCCUGCCAAGUUGGCAUUUUACAGCUCUAAUUUGUGAGCUAUUAUACACUUGGAGCUGGGGCUGAGUUGUUCUUCUCGUUGGUAUUUGAUUAAUAAAUUUAUGCACUUUGAUUUGUGAAAUUUAACAGUUGGACAUUGUGGGAGUGGCUAAUUUGAAUUGUGUGUUGAAGAUGCAACAUGCUUGUUUAGGAUGCGUUUAUUAGGUCAUUGCAGAAUCUCGCAGUUAUUAGCUAAUCUUAAUCAUUGACAUACCUUUUUAAUAUUGGUUACUUGUUUGCACAGUCAAUCUAGGCAGUCUGGAAGUUCAUUUGAUCAGUCUAUUGACCUUCUAAUGAAGAGAGCAAACUGAAUAAGUAACAAAUGCUUGAUCACAUUCAUAAUUUGGGCUAGUUAUCCAUGUGGAAAGGAACAGUUUUGAAUGGUAAGGCUAGUUGAUGGUUAAAACAGCUGGAGAUUUAAUCAAAUGCACAUCUGCCCUCUUUUGUUGCGUGUUAAUAUUGAAUGAUUAUAUGUCAUUAAACAGGCAUACAUAAUUCCAUUUUCUCAGGAAAUGUCUUCAACUUGCACUUUUCAGAUACAUACUGGUUUUUCUUACUGAAAAUUCUUUGUCAAGGAAUGAGGUUUAUUUAACCAAAGUUAUUGAACAUAAGAAUUUAUUAUCUGAUGCAGUAUAGGUAUGGCAGUAAGUACAGAGUAGUGUAAAAAGCUAACCCACUGGAAGAAGUUCUGAGAACUGAACAUGGCUUGCACUGGAAAUUUGUGUGACUAUCCAUGUACAAUAUGACUUUUGAUAUUAGAAUACGUGCACCUCAUGGCUUAUUGAGCAAACUAAAGCACUUCCAAUUUGGUAUAAGAGCCAUGGCAGGCUAAAAUCUUGAAACAAUUAGCACUAAAGAAGAUAUGCUGGUUUUGGAAUUUAUUUUAUAUCUACUUAUGUAUCUUGCAUGUAUCCAUUGUUAUAUGACAUCAUGGGUGCUCUGUAUCCUGGAAUCUACUAUAGCUCUACAUGAUUUGGUUUAGAGUUUUUACCUGUUUAGAGUGAAAAAUAAUUGUGGUACUUGAUACACAACCAUGUUAUUUUAUAAAUAAUUUUGAUAGUAUAAGCAGAUUGUUUCUCAGCCUAUAUUGUGGAUGCUAUAUCUUGUUUUUCCUUCAAUUAUUUACUUUAGCAACAUAUCUGAGUUGGUAUUGAUGGUUCCUUUAUUAACCUGAGACAAUUUGUUUUGCUUUUCUGAAUUAUCGUACUUUUGCACACUUCCAUUUGUUGCUGGAUUCUUUCUAAUAGCCCUUUCUCUUGGUUUUGAAUGCCAGCUUAAAGUCUGAUGAAGCUGAUCCUUGUCUAUAUAAUUUGUCUUGGCCUGUAGUCUAGAUUUUGAAUCUUGGUUGUUUCCUUUAAGCGUUUGCUUUUUUCGUUAGCAAUAUUUUGCAGUUGGCAUUUAUGGUUCCUCUUCUAACAUGACACAAUUUCUAUUGCUUUAUGAUUUGUCAUACUUUUGUACAUAUCCAGUUGCUUGAUUAUUCCAAUUAGCCCUUUCUCUUGGUUUUGAAUACCAACUUGAAUUUUGAGAAGCUAAUCCUAAGUCUAUGUAAUUCAAAAGUCAUGAAUAAGCUGUCUUUUUUUGAAUUUUGUUGGGCCCGCUGACUUAGAACGACUUCAUUUUCAUUUUAUUGUGGAAUUGGCAUCUUAUCUUCAUGAAAUAGUGAGGAGCUUCAGCCUCGAAUAUGUCUAUUCAAUCAUUUUGAUUUUAGCUCGCAUGUCUUUUAAUCUUCUUCGAAUUUGGUAAAUUUUGUAUAUUUCAACUGAUUGAUUCAUCAUUAUUACGUUCUCAGUGCAAUGAAAUCCGAAAAACAAAUAGCAAUCUUCUUGUGAUUGGGAAGGCAACUACAGACAAUGAUAAAGAAGACUUCGACAAUGAUGCAGAUGAUGAUGAUGCUGACAAUGUAGAAGAGUCUGAAGGAGAUGACUUUGAGCAGGAGACUGGUUGAUUUCUUUAGCUUCACUGCUGCCUCAUAUGAAAUCUUUGUUUCAAUUGACUGAAGUUGUAAGCUGUUUAGUAGGGAAUGCGUGACCUUCAAACGACAAUUUUUUGCUUUAAGAUCAAUACAACCCCUGUCUAUUCAAGGCCCGCCCAUAUUAUCUCUAUUUUUUGCUUGAAUGUAUAUACUUGCAUCUUUUGUACUCGUUACUUCAAAUGGUGCAUUCUUAAUUUAGUUUUGAUGAUCCUGGCAAGUCUCUUUAAUGUAGAUCACUGAUUUUGUGUAAUCACACUUCAUGACUGAGCAUCUUUUAAUAGUUAGGAUGAAGAGGUAAAAGUGGAUGUAUCCAGAUCAUUAUCUCCUAAUCAAGAUAUUCUUCGAUAUCUUUUUGUGACGAGACCAAAUUUUGAGAAUGUGUCUCGACACGUUGUUAAUCUUUUGGGUCUUAUGCGUCUACUUCGGCCUAAUAGCUAAUGUUUCCAGAAUGCCACAUGCCCAUUAAUCAGUUACAUUUUCUUUGCUUCAUUAUUUUGUAUUACAAUCUACUCGAUUGUUUUCCUCCUCUAAGCCAAAGAAAAAAAAAGUUGGCUCUGUCUAUGCUGCUAGACCAUAUAUCGUCAAGUUAGCUCUCCUUUUGGCCGCCUCAACAAUCCUGUGUUGAUGAAAUGCAAGUAUGAUUAUCAUGGCAAAAGAGAAUUGAAAAAAAAAAAAAAGAAGGCUUUUGCAUUCAGCAAUUUUAAGAGACCAUUAUCCUCGACUCUGGUUGGAUAGCCUUCUUUCUAUAUAAGAAAAUUCUGGUUAGAUUUCUAUUUUCUGAUUACCCAUCAUAUUCACGAAUAUUACAUCAUUUGGUGAACGUUAUUAUUUGCUUCCAUGUGGCAAUAUCUAUCAAUUUUCAGAAUUUUUUUAAGGAUUUUUUUUCUAAUGAGCAUCAGAACAUUCGUUAAAAUACUUAAAUUACACUUAAUUUACUAUCUAAAUGCAUAAAUUCACAAUUAAUUUCCCUUUGUAUUUAAAUACUUUUCAAAAUUAGUUUCACUCUUGUCAAAAAAGUUAACGAGUGAUUUGGGGCACUCGUCAGCCAAAUCAUUAAUUUGAUUCUCAAGGUUGCUAUUAGAUAAUAAUGGACAUACUUGAAUUUGAAUACCCACAUAAAGGUAAUGGCAAUGGGAGUUUUGAGUCUCACCAUGCAAGUUAAGGUUCCUAGAAUAAAGUCAACCAGGCUGUUCAUCAAUGGAGAAUUGGAUGAUUCUCUGUUUUAGGUUCCUAAUUUAUUAUUCUCUCCCUUCUUUGUUUAUGUUCUCCAAUAUUCUUGGAUUCAACUCCAUUAAUGGAACUAUAAAGCGUAAAAAAGUACUCUACUACACAAUCAAAAAGGGUAAUUACUUAGUUAAACUUGACCUUAACAGUUAUAAUCCAAAAGGGAAAUUACUCACUUAAACUUGACCUUAAACAUUAUGAAGAUACUCAUACUUUGAAGUAGUACUGAACUUUUUUAAGGGUACGAGAUAUCUAUCAUGGAUUCAUUCGUUGAUUCAGGUAGCUAUGUGCCAAAUAUAACCAGAAAAAGGGUAAGGAAAGAAGGUCACGUCUCACGUGAGAUCAAAUUGAUUCGAAUUCUACCAAGUGAUAUAAACUAGUCGUAGUAAGCGAUCGAAAGAUUUUUUAUUCGACUUUCAAAUACUCCCCCUUUCCCCUUCCCCUUGUAAGUGUUAAAUCUCCUAUUUGAUGAUAAAAAUAUAUAUAGACACGCACAUAGAUAAAUAAAUAAUAUAUAUAUAUAUAUAUAUAUAUAUAUAUAUAUAUAGUAAGAGAAAACAGACAAAUAUGACACUUAUAAGCACAAAUCUUUUGCCAUAUGUUGGAGGCUUGGGUUUAUCAUCGGAUAGACUGAGAGUACAAACGAGUCGAGUCGAGUUAGGCUUAUUUAUGCUAGCUCGAGUUCGAGCUCGAGCUCGUUGAGCUCGUGAAAUGAAGCUCGAGCUCGGCUCAAUUUAGGAAAAGACAAGUUCGAGAUCGACUCUCUUAUGGCUCGCGAGCCAUUAUCGAGUCGAGUUAGGCUUAUUUAUGCCAGCUUGAGUUCAAGUUCGAACUCGUCGAGCUUGUAAAAUGAAGCUCGAGCUCGGCUCGAUUUAGGAAAAGACAAAUUCGAGAUCGACUCGCUUAUGGCUCGCGAGCCUAGCUCAAAUUCUGGCUAGCGAGCAACUCGAGUUUCGCUCGAUUUUCUGGCUCGCAUUUCACUCGAAUUUAGUUCAAUUUCUAGGUUCGAGCUCCAAAUCAGCUUGAGUUUGUCUGCAAAAGAAACAAAAGAUAGCCCAGCAAAAGAAACCAGCAAAAAAAUAGUCCACUACUUGGUUUGUCUGCCACUACUUCAAAUGUUUGUCUGCCAUUACUUGGUUGAGAAAAUUCUUAAAUUGUGGGAAAAAAAAAGUUAUUCUACAAGGGUGCAAUUUUUUAAGCUAGUUCUAGCAUUAUGAUCUUUGCAUUUGUGAGAUGCAAGGCCUCGCAUAUAGAAAUGCGAGGUCUAUAUUUAAGGAAAAAAGAGAAAUGUUUUGGGAAAAAGUAAAAAAGACAAGGCGAAGCUCGCAUUCAAAUCUGAAGCUCCUAAUUACGGAAUUCAAAUCUGUCUCCUAACCGGCGGAAAUUGGAGUUCACUCUCUUCUCUUUUGCUGAGGUAGAAACCAGUCCAAGUAUCUCUGCUCUCGGCCAUUGUAGACGAAAUCAGUCACAUCUCGGCAGACGAAAUCCCUCACAUCUUUCUUGUCGGAAGCUCUCCGCCAUUGUAGAGCUUGGACCCCUGCUAGGAACCCAUUUCUGCCAAGCUGAAACCAAGCCGCGCCUCCCCACCCCCCCCCCCCCCGCUCCCAAUUUGCCACUUUUACUACCUCAACAGGACUCCCCAACCAAUUUUGUGUCCCAUUUGCUGCACAUUUUCUUUACACUUGGCAAAUGGCUUUCAAAAAGUUGGUGGCUAUGCUCUGUUGCUCAGAAACAGCAUAAGAGGUAUGAAUGUCUCUUUUUCUUUUGUGAGUUUCUUUGUUGUUUUCUGGGAUUUUUUGUUUUCUGAAUUGAGCUGGCUUUUCUGCUUUGGCAAUUUAUUGAACGUUAUUGUUGUUUCGGUUUGUGUCUUAUUAGCUUGCCAUGCUUAGUCUGACAAGUCCUUAAUGCCUAAGGUUUUCGCCAGUCACAUUUACUGGUACACCUCCAUGAUUGAUUCCAUUGGAGAUGUUGGGCGAUCAUGGUUUUGUACCAAAAAUUGUCUACACAUAUGAUGCUGCAUUCCACGGUUUUCAGUGCCUUGAUGUCUAAAAACCAUUGCAUUUGGUCUCGUGUUUGAGUUGUAAAUUGGUGUGAUUAGAUAGAAUUUUUUUUUGGAGCGAUAUUUAAGCAAGAAAGUGUAUUUUAUGGAUGUACACAAGGCGUUUGUGAAAAUUCCUGAACAGAAGUUGUUAACUUCUGCAAUGUAUGAGGCGUCCUCCUGCCUCAAAGAUGAUGAAUUAAGUGAAGUUGUGGAUAUAAUAUGAAAUGCACCGUUGCAAUUAGUAUGCGCGAAGAAACGAGGGGGAAAGGAAAUUCGUUGUAACCAUUUGUCCAUGCCAAAAGUGAAAAGGAAAAAAUGAAAAUUUAAUGCAAACCUGUUUGGAAUGCAUUUUUUGAAAAGUUCUUUUUUAAUUAUUAAUUUUUUAUAGUUAUAUAUAUGAGUGAAAAAGUUGAUUAAUAAUUAUAUAAAAAAAUUUUAAAAAGUCAAAAAAAAUAUAUUUUUUUGGUAACAAAAAGUGCUAUCCAAACAUGGCCGCCAAACUGUCCGGGCGAGUGGAUUCUUAGUUAAGAUCUAGCUGCAGCUCGUCUGCUUAGGUUUGUCCCACAUCGAGUGUUGGGGGGGGGGGGGUUUGGGGUUAGUAUUUAAGUCUCCUCGGGAACCUCAAGAGUUGCCGGCUUUUGUGGUUUCCUGUGGAUUAAGAGUUGAGUUCUAACUUACAAAAGUCUUUGGACUUGGUAAAAAAAAAAACAUGGCCGCCAAAAUUUCUACAUAUAAGUGGUUGAAUGAAAAUCAAUUCACACGUAUUUGGUUGGGUUUGGGCAAAAAGUGUAUUUCAAAUUUAGCUCUACCCUACAAGAGGCUCCACCUAGUUGGCUCAAGAUUUGUUCUGAAGAUGUAAACCCAAAAUCUAAUAGCUUUUAACUUUUUUCUAUCAUUUCAUUUUUUCCAUAUAUCCAUUCCGUUAUGUAUUGUGUGCUUACAUGAUUUCUCUUCAAUAGUUAGAGAAGUGUGUUAUGGAUUUGUUAUAGUUAUUUCUUUGAAAAUGUACAAAGUGUCCGUUUUGGGGUAGUUUUUGGCACAAUGAACUUAGAAUCCAUGGACCCUAUAUAUGCUAAUUAUUUCUAUUUGCAUUGAUUUGUGAAAGACAAGAUUUUGUUCUUAAAGCUAAUCAAUGAGUUGUUCUAGUCUUUUGGGGCAAAACAACAUAUCGGUUUUGCUGAGAUUACACUUGUUAUAGAUAAUAAGAGUCCAAAAAUUCGAAUAUGUUCCAAUUAAAUUUAAAAAAAGAAAUAGAAUUGUGCAUUGACAGCCUAAAAAUUCUACUCCUACAAUUUUAUAACAAAAUGUUGAGGAGGAAAUUAAGACUGCGGAAUUUAUAAAGGGACUAUGCUGCAAUUUCCUCUAAUGUGGAUAUGCUUUGAUGUUCCUCCUUUUCCUUUUGACUGAACUUCUAAAAUUAUGUCUUGAUUUUCAAACAAGAGGAGUUGUCUAUGUAAAGGGUUCUAAUUUCUAAUCUGAAAAGUAAAACAUUUCCUAGAACUGAAUAUUAAAUGUUGACUCCUAAUUCAAGUUAUAGAUUUGGCUUUAAUAAUGAAAGCAGCUACAAUCCAUAAACAGCCAAGGGUAUAUUCUGCUAAUUCUAAUUUUUCUCUAUAAUCACUUUCAUAAUUAGAUUUUACUAAAUGUGGAGCAACAAAGAAUUAAUGUAGCCGUACAUCUCAAACAUUAGUUGCAAAUACAAAACAGAAAAUAAGCUUGUGCGAUUUAGAUUAGGCCACCUUAGUUGCAGUUGCACACCGGAUCUAAGCUGCUAACAAUUAAUUAAAGUAGUUUUCAAAGUCCAUACAUGUUUGGAUUUUGAAUGGUAGGGAGUUUUUGACUAGUUAUAGGGGAGACUCUGUCGAAAUUUUUUCACAAAUUCUACUAAUGAGUUUAAUUGGUUUUGAGAAAUUCAUGCAACGAAUAAAUUUUUUUAAAUUAUCUUGGUUUUCUGUGCUCUCCAUCGUAUUCAUAUAGGUUUGUACAAAGUUUAUUACACAAACGAGGGGACUUGAAGAGGCUUGGAUUGGUACCACUAGGAUCAAAUCUGCAGAAGUGCAUCUUCAGAAUCUGAGGCAAGUCAUUGGGUAAGUCAUGCUGGAGCUACUAGACAUAAUUGUAGUCGUAUUAAUGUUCUAGUUUUUUUAACUUUUCUUGGAUUCGUUUUAUGGUGAAUUCAUGAAUUUAAAGUGAUGCCCUUUAUUGUAGUAUAUUUUUUAAUUGCUCGGUUCACGGAGGACAGGGGAGUAUAAGAAAUUAUUGUAGUUUCACACUCUACUAUAUACAUGAUAUUAUUAUUGUUGGUUUGUCAAAAUAUCACAGUUGCCUAUCUUGUGUAGCCCAAAAUAUGUAUGCCUAUGACUGAAUAUUAACAAAGUUCACUAUAAUUAUGUCUAACUUCUCAACUAUUACAACAAAGUAGGAGAAGCUGCAGUUGUAGUGUUCUAAAUUAUCUCAUAAUUCUCAAUUGUUUGAAAAUCGAUGUGGCUAUGUUGGUUGGCAGGGAGUUUUAGCCCAGUUACAGGGGAGACUCUGUCAAAAUUUUUUUAAAAGUAUUUUGGGUCUUUUUGGUUGGCACUUUAUUACUUUAUUAAGGUUGUUAGAUACUGUAUUAUGUGGUAAAUUUGGAUGCAUUAUUAUGUGUUUGGCAAUUCAGUGGUAAAUUUGGAUGCAUUAUUGGUUGUUUGGCAAUUCAGUGUUACGCGACCACUCAAUACCCGACCUCAUGGUCGCGUAUUGUUGUCGUGUUUUGUGCACUGUGGUUGCAGAGUGUAAUACGCGACAUCGAAAUACGUGACGUAGUGGUCGCGUAUUGUGAUCGCGCUUUCUUCUUUGCAGGCGCGGAUUGUAAUACGUGGCCACCAAUACGCGACCUUGUGGUCGCGUCUGCAGUUUCUACAAAAAUUCAUGCACAACCAAUUUUAUAGCCAAAAACUCACAAUGCAUUUUAAAUCAUUUGUUUACUAAUUUGUACCUUACACGCACAUGCAAAAUGAUAAAUACAUGCAUUCUACCCUUUUUUAAUGCCUAAAAAAGUAGUUCUAGGCAUUUGUUACAUAGUCUUGUACUACUAAUUCUAAUUUAUUUUUUCCAAAAUAGGGAUUCUUUUCGCACACAUGUCUAUAGAAAGACCUCUGCGAGUGUCUCUUUAUUGGGGAGGUAAAAUACAUUAUGAGGAUGAGUCAAUUUAUUAUUUACCUCGUACCUCCAACCGUACAUUCUCAUUACGGCAUAGAAUUGGGUAUGAAGAGCUGGUGGAUAGAAUUUAUCAAUAUAUGGGGGUUGAUAGGGGGAUGUUCAAGUUGAAUUUAUUUCUCCGCCAACCUUGUGGCCGUACCUCUUAUAAUCUCUCCCAAGUGUUGGAUGAUGAAACUCUGGAGAUAAUGUAUGAUGUAUGGAACGAAAUUGUCCCAUACAUCGCCGAACUUUAUAUCGAGAAGGAGGAAAUUGUCCAAAAUCCUCAAGUCAGUAGCAUCUUCAUUCCACCAACUACCAAUGUUGGUCCGAUGAUGUCGCUUAUCCAUGCAUGCAACAUGGCAAGUACUAUGGGAAGAAAAAGGCAAGUAGUUUAUUCUUCCUCUAGCAGUGAGGAGGCUGAAGAAAACUUGGACAUCAGUGAGGAAGUUGAAGAAACUGAAGAGGUAGCACGAUCUCUUUCGCCUGCACCUGAUUCUAGACGUCUACGGGGGAGAACUGCACUACAGCCCCAGAUAUUUGAUAGCGCUAGAUUUUCCACUCUGCAACACCAGAAGUGGUAUGAAGCACAUGCCAACUUGGAGUUCUUGUUCGAAAAACAUGUGAGCACCGAAGUUGAGAAUGCCUUUCAGAUUUCGGAAGCGUUUGACCAACUUGGUUGGGCGCCAAUUCUUCGACUACCCGUUUACUACUAUCCGGAGCUUGUGCGUGAGUUUUAUGCUAAUAUCAUUAACAAGGCGAAGCAUAGUGGUGAAAAGGUGGAGUCCUUUGUUCGGGGAACACGCAUCGUCUUGUCAAGGCAGCGUUUAGCGGCAAUUUUGGGUUGUCGUGACGAAGGUCCUGCAGUGGAUUUGAAAAAAGGCUUCGUCGCUCCAAACAAAAGAUGGGAUCCGACACAUGCUAUGGCAAGGUUCGGUCUUCAGUACCAACCUUUCCGUUCAUCGAGGAAGGAGACAAUUGUUGCUACAGUUUUUGAUGUUCGCCAUCGCCUCAUUAUCUAUAUGAUAGCGCACAAUGUGAUUCCCAAGAAGACGGGUCAUAGCGAGGUCAGGAAGAGUGAUAUCUACAUCUUGGACUACAUGUUCCAUAACCGGGAGACCUCUUACGCUCAAAUUUCGUUGCCAAAUAUCAUCAUCAGCUAUAUACGGUCAACGGUGAGACGUCGGACUACUUCUUUCAAGCUGGCAUUCCCUCGACUAUUCACAUUGGUGUUUGAACGGAUGGGGGUUAAUCUAGCUGGAGCUGAUCGACAAGUUGUCCGCCCCAGUACCAAGUUAUCUUUUACCUUGCUACGCAACAUGGGCAUCGACUUGGCUGCUUUCAUUCCUCCACUUAUGGAGCGGCGUUCUAAAGCAAGGCAUGGUGGAGAUGAUGUUGGUCCAUCCACCUCUACACCUCCACCACCUCCCCCCGUGCAUCAUCCUCAACCCAAUUGGCGACGGCUUUUCACUACCUUGGAUGAUAUUCAGUUCCAGUUGGGGAGGAUAGACGCUCGCUUGGCACGUAUAGAGGCUCAUUUAGGCAUUCCUCCGCCUCAGAGUGGUGCUGCAGAUGAAAAUGAUAAUUGAAGCUACACCAUUAGGAUGACUAUCUUGCACAGUUUUGGAUUUGCUUGCAUUUUGUUUUAAUCUGUGGAAUGUUAGAUGUUUAACAUGAUUUUACUUUUUCUGUUUUCAAUUUAGUAGAUACUUGUGCUUUGGUAGUGAUUCGUGAUUAUUGGGUAAUCUGGAUCUCAACCAUUGCACUGGGAAGUACUUCCUUCUUUCUUUUGUUUCUUUUCUUUCCCUACACAUUGAGGACAAUGUGUAUUCUAAGUGUGGGGGAGGAAAUGUGUAGUAUUUUUAGUAGUUUUAUGUUUAAUAUUUGGACAAGUUGUUGGAAAUACUGCUUAGAUUAAAUGUUGUCUAUUUUGGGUUUGCUGGCAGGGAGUUUAGUCCACUUUUAAGGGGAGAUUUUGUCAAAAUUUUUUUCAAAAAAAAAUUAAUAAAUAAAUAUAUAUAUAUUAAUCAUAAUAAAUUACAAUAAACAAAUACAAUUUUUGUCAAAUAUCCUGCUGAAAUAAAUAUAUGUGGUUUGAAAACUUCUUUUCUCAUUUAAUUUGGAAAUGAUUAUUAUGUGAUUAUAAUUUUUGCAUUUAUAGGAAAGUAUGUCUUGUAAAGUGGAGAAAAUUAUGCCUAUAUUUCGCAUAUUUGAUAAAAUUUCUUCUUUUUAUUUGAUUUUAUAAGUUAAAUGAUUAAUAUGAUCAAUAAGUGUCACACUCCUCUCAUGAUUAUUCUUUAGAGAGAAUUUUAUUAUUUCUUCAUUUUAAAAAAUAAUAAGGAUUUUUCUCCAGGUAUUUAGACUAAGGUAUUUAGUGAUUUUUCUCCACUUGUUAUAUUACAAAUAUUUAGAUUGUAGAUAGCAAUAUUUCUGAUUUUUCUGCUCAAAUUCAUUGUAAGUCUAAACAAUACAGUAAAUAAGGAACUAAUACUUGUUUAAAUUGUUCCUCAUGAGAUUGAUCCGAUACAUAUCCAAAUCUACUAAUUCGGCCUGUAUACUUGUAGUAAAACGGGUAUAAAUCAGAUUUAACUUGCAUUUAUAUCAAAAUCCCGUCAGUGGACGUUCUCUAAAGGUACUAAUAAUGCAAGCAAUUUUGAAACAAACUAAGCUAUUGCAAAUCUCGUUUGAAUCGUUCUUCCAGAGACUGAAAUAUGAGCAUUUGUUAAGUGUCAAAAUAUCAAUGACCUCGCAUUACCUGACCUCGCAUUUUGUUAAGUGUCAAAAUAUCAAUGACCUCGCAUUACCUGAUAUCAAUGACCUCGCAUUACCUGACCUCGCAUUUUGUUAAGUGUCAAAAUAUCAAUGACCUCGCAUUACCUGACCUCGCAUUUAUGGACCUCAUAUUCGAUAAAUGCGAGGUCUAGAUUUUUUUUUUUUUUUUUUUUUGUUUUUGCAUUUCGUUGGUUGCAAAUUUUCAAGAGACUUCGCAUUCAGCAAAUGCAAGCUCAGUAAGCUCGCAUUUACUGAAUGCGAAGACCCGUUGGACGGAAUCUCACGCUCAAAAUGCUCCCUUUGUAGAAUUUUUUUAAAAUUCAUCAUAAAAUUAGAAAUUUCUCCUACUUGGUUUGCCUAACUUCUUUGAAGAUGAUUCUAAAUUCCUUCCACUCAUAUUCACGAGAGCCAUCAGCCCGCCCCGGACCUAGAACUUUUCCUAGCACAUCAAAUCCUUUCAGGUCUACAGAAAGCAGAUAAGCAUCCUUCACGCAGAAGCAGAUAUUAGCAGUUGAAACCCAUUGGUAAAAACAUAAAGAUUCUCCUUCAGAACAAAUUCAACCAAAACUUAUUAAUGAUAUCUGGUAAUAAUGUUGCUUUCUUACAUUAUAUUUUUAACAACACAUAUAGGAAUAGUAAGAACAUCUGCCAUUCUUAGAGGAAACCAGCAAACAUCUUAAAGGCAGUCAUAUUUAUAAGUCACUGUACUCCAGGCAUCAUAACUUUUUAUUCACUAGGAAAUAACAAGCUCAAAAAUAGGCAAAUUGGACAUUGCAACUUCGUUGUUAAAGAGAAGGAAAAUAAGAAAAGCAAGACAGAGUGAGAAAACAUCGACUAGAUAUCUAAGACCGGGUGAAGAAGCCUCUCCAGGUGGUGAGACAAAGGAGAGCUUGGCCCUGUUCUCCGUUAUUGAAAGAAGAAGCCCUCUGCAGGUCUGCUACUUUGACUUUUUCAUUUUUCGUGACGAAAGAAAGUAAAGAAACUCAGUUUCUUGCGUGGCUUGGAGGUUGCUGAAGUGGAGCUGGCGGAAGUGGUAGAGAUGAAACUAGCAGAGAUGGCAGUGGCGGAAGUGGGAAUUGGGAGUUGGGACUUAGGACAGUCGACAGAGAAAGCUUGGAGGUUGCUGAGGAGCUGGCGGAAGUGGUGGAGGUGGAGCUAGCAGAGAUGGCUGUGGCGGAAGUACGAAUUAGGAGUUUGGCAGCUAGGACAGUCGGUGGAGGAAAAAGUUCGAUUAGAGAAAGUGAGAAAGGAAAAGUAGGUAACCUAAUAAAGGAAGUGAGAAAUAGAAUAAGUUGUAAAUUUUAAUUGAUUCAGGGAUAUUUUUAUAAUUUCGCAUUUACUUGAGCCUAACGAGCGGCUCGUCGGACUAUCAAGCCUAAGAAACGAAGACUCGAACUCGCCUCGUUUGUAUUAACGAACGGUUCGAGUUCUUGUUGACCGAGCUCGAGCUCGCCUCGUUUGUAUUAACGAACAGCUCGAGUUCGUGUUGCUUUGACUCGAGCUGCUCGCGAACUACAGCUCGAGUCGUGAGCAAGCCUAGGACAGACACACAUUCAAAUUGAAUUAAGAAAAGAACAAAGGCGUGAAAUUAAAAUCACUGUAAUACAUUUUUUUCGUUACCAUAAGUUAUAAUUAAGUGUAGUUGAAAAUUCAAAAUUCGUCUUAUCUUUUCCCCUCUUUUCACUAGUAAUUUUUAUCAUAUUGUUUGGAUUCCCAUUUUUGGCCAAAGAGUUUUUACGUUUUAAGGAUGAUUAACUAACCUUGGCUCUUAUUAUAUUAUGCUAAUCUUGAUAACGUCAAGGCCAAAUUCUUGUGCUCAUUAUGGUUUCAAGCUGCAAGAAAAUUCUCUUUAUUGGUCUAAAUACCUGUGCUACAUAUGGUUAAUUUAUUAUUAACAAAUAAAAGUGGUUAAGAUGAGAAAGUUCCCAACUAGCAAUUCUGUGGCACCUUAACAUGUUAAGUAGCAUAGUUAGCAGAAUAUGGGAUAGGUAUAAUACUAGAUAUUAUAGAUACGCAUGUUAUACAGAUAUUUUUUCCAAUAGUAUGAUUUAAAAUUUGGUGCAAAAAAUGUUUUUGGCAAGAUUAUGUAUAUAAAUUUGUACGUGAAUAGUAUAAAUAUAUUUGAAAGUUAUAGAACUAAAAAUACGGUCAAAUUUUCUAUAUUUCUUUAAAGAAUUAUGCUACAUUUGUACUAAUUUAAACUCGUAUCCUUGUGUAUAACAUGCUAAAUUUAUUGGAAGUUUUAUCACCUUAUUAGUUUCAUACUUAUAAAUCUACAUAACUAUGUUAUAUGUUGUUGUUGUUGUUAUUUUAUUUACAACUAGAAAGAUAAGUUACCGGUCCUUAAAUUUUAAAUUUUUUUUUUAAAAAAAUUAAAGUAUAAUUCGUGAAGUAUUAUACAUCAAAAGUUUAUUACAAAAUUUGAAAGUUUUUUUUUUUUAAAUCAUACGAACGAACAUGGAUUAUACGAAUAUUUACUAACCAGGCUAAAUAGCAUACAAUUUUUAGCAAUAACCAAAAUAAGGACUAAAAAUCCUGAUAUUUUCUGAUUUAGGAAUAAUCCAUAUAUUGUGCCCCCUCCAUGCCCCCAUCAUUGUUAAUCCAGCAUUGCAUGAUUAACCGGCCUAAAUAUGCUUCAAAAAGUCUCGAAUUUCAUCCUAAGAUACAUUCACUGAAGCCCUUUUUUUGGUUUAUGGUUGUUUCUUCCUUUCUUUCUUUUUCUCUUUCCCCCUAACAUAUCCAGUUCACAUACUUUUGAAUUGCGUAGAGAUUUGAGACGUACCACCCCUUGAUCUUUCUUACUCCACCGGCAUCCGUGUUAUGGAAGUGCAUCCAGAUGUUCAAAUUCGAGUUAUGUGAAGAAUUAUCACUCAAGAAAGGGUUGGAGAAGGCUAUAAUUAAGCACAGAGAAAAACAAAGAUAAUACAUAUCACCAUACAAACAUAAACAAGUAGCUUUAACACAAUGGUAACCUUAUUUCGUCCUCUUUCCAAAGCUAAAGCUUGGAAAAGUACGUUUAUUUUAUGAUCUAAGGUGAUCUCCGUAAAGAUCAACACAUACUUAGUGAUAUUUAGCAAGACUUUUAAGGAUGUCCUCAAUAAGGACGUUGACCAAUAUAGUUGCCAGGAGGAUCAUAACUGCAAAUCACGAACCAUGAAGGGCUAUUCGUGCAUUGAACCCUAGCGCAGCCCGUGCGGGCCGAGUUGCGCCAAACCACCUGAGUGUAGUGCCUGCACUCCUUCCCUUGAGUACAUGAAUUGGACCCGUAAUCGUAGUAUUGCCUCUCAUUCACCCACAGAUUGACGGCAGCCCGGGCCGUGAAGUCUCCAGAGCCUGCGGCUAGGUUCUCACCGUAAGGGCCACCAGAGUGCAUGAGUUGGCAGUCAUUCAUCCUCUGCGUCGCGUAGUUCUUUGCAUAGGCGGCCAACCUGUCGUCCCAAGCUAUCCGGCUAACAUUGACUUGUGCACGAGCUGCAUUAUGAACAUCUAGAUAAUCUUGUUGUGAAUUUUGAGCUCGAGAUGGCCAGAACAUUGCCAGGAGAACGAAGCAAAAUAUUGCUGAGGAGAACGAAGCAAAAUAUUGCUGAGGAGAUCUUAAAUGAUCCCAUUUCUUACUUUUUUUUUCCCCCUCCUAAAAAUAUACGUAGAGUAACUAAGUUUUUGCAUGUCCGGUGCAGCCUAUGCCCGAGUUUAUAUAGGGACAAUAUUGGAAAAUUUAGCAUGUUUAGUUUAGCAUUUGAACCUUCAAAGCAGCUAUUUUUCGUGAGACAUAACGUAGUAUACGGGAAACCCAAAAAAGCCGCCGGUACUGCGCUAAAAUAUAGACGUCAAGAUUAUUUCUGCCAUGGAUUGUGGGUAAUAUUGAAAAGGAUUAAUCAGACAAUCCUUAGUGUGAUUGAAAAGGAUUGUCUGAUUAAUCCUUUUCAAUCAAACAGACAAAGGAUUGUGAAUUCCUCACAAAUGUAUCGUUGCUGAUAAAAAAAAAAAAAAAAUACACUUUACCUUUCCUUUGGCCGCACAGAGUUAUGGUUGCAUUCCUCACACUACUGCACGCGGUUAUUUUAAGGUUUUCUCUUGGGAGAGGAAUAAAUUGAAUGAUUUAAAAGAAGGAAGUUUAAGUAAGAGUUUCAAAUUUGAAACUUCCUAUUUAUACUAUAAAAAAAUUAAAAAUAUAUAUAUCUCGGAUUUAGGGGAGGAAUGGAUUGGAUGGUUUAAAAAAGAAGGAGUGUAAGUGGGAUAUCUCAAAUUAAUUUAGAAAAAAACAAAAAAAUAAUUUGAAAAAAAAAAGUAGAAGUGAGAUGUUGCGAAUUAGUUUAGAAAAAACAAAGAGAAUAAAGACAGGAAAUGGGGUUAUGGUGGUCCAAGAUGUCUUCCACUAGUGGGUUGAAUCCUCGGUUUAAGUGGAAGACUAAGAAGUCUCCUACUCGUACGAUAUUUAAGUUAUCCAUGGACAAAGACUCGAUACGAUUGCGUUUUCUGCGGUUUAAUUCGAUUGUUGUAUAUGUUUAAAUUUUUUGUAUACAAAUAUAUUACAAUAUUAUACUGAGUAUAUGUUAAAUUAAUGUACAUUACUUUUAUUUUGAGUACAAUAACGUAAUAUAAUUAUGAUAAUUUUUUUUUAUAUACUAUCAGUGUAUAAUUUUUUUUUUUACACUAGUAUAUUUAGAUCAUACUAUAUAACAUGAAUCCAGAUUUGAAAUUUAAAUUAUGCAUAUGUGAUAUUCAUUUAAAACUGUUAAUGUAAAAAAAUUAAUUCAUAUAAUUAUAUAUCAAAUGAUGAAAAAGUAUAAUAAUGAAACCCAAUCGCACGAAAUUCCAACCGCACUAACUCCUUCCCAUUAUGCACGUAUGACGUUACGUUUUCUCAAAUUAAACUGUGUGUAUGCAGCUCACAAGAAGUAAUUAUCAUGGACCACGAGCCACAAUGUGAAUGAACAUUAUUGUCCACAGCUAAGCUAGCAAAUUCUAGCUCUUUCCCUCCCUCAACCAUUUUACAAGUUAAUUUGUGCCGGACCCCCAAGAAGUGGCAAGUGAAAUUAGGAAUUGUAAAAUAGCAGGGUCGUCUCUGGCGUAUAUAAAAGCAGCCGAUGACAAACUCAUAGGCAACCUCGACGUCAUAAAGGUUCUUUGCAGACUCCCUGGUUAAUGUAAGAAAAGCUUCAAUUUGAAUUGCCAACUUUAAAUCCCUUCCUAACUACGAUGACAAGGGUUUUGGUGUUUUUCACACCCUUAAUUUGAUUAUAAGAUUUGUUGGGGACUAUGAACAAUUCCAUCAGUGACGGAGCCAGGAUUUUUUUUUUUUUUUACCAAAAUUUUUUCCUAAUAAAAUUAUCUUAAAAUAUUAUGUUCAAAAUAAUUUUCUUCUAUUUAAAUAUAUGACAUCUAAAAAUAUCAAAUAUUAAAUUUAAUUAUAAAGGUAUGUCUAUUCAUAAAUAUGCGGUAUAGUCAUAACAAAAAUUAACAAAAAAGAUAACUUUUGAUUAAAUAUCUUAUAACAUCACAAACCAUCCAAUUUGCACAUUAUGAGAAGAUGCUCUCCAAUAUGUCACCUAUGCAAUAUAUAUAUAUAUAUAUAUAUAUAUAUAUAUAUAUAUAUAUAUAUAUAUAUAUAUAUAUAUAUAUAUAUUUAUAUAUAUAUAUCCAUGUAAUAUAAAUGUAACUAUUUUCAAUUGAAAAAAGAUAAAAGUUAUGUUAACAUAAUUUGAAAUUUCAAUAUCUUUUCUUAGAAGUAAAUUGAGCUCUACGCUCUUUCAUAGAACUAAAUUUAUUUAUGAUUGAAUCAUUGCUAAAUUUUUCAGCAACUUCUUUUUCUAUAUACACAGUUAGACAAUCAUUCAAGAAAUUAUCUUGCAUCUUGUUUCGGAGCUUUGUCUUGAUUAUUUUCAAAAUUGAAAAUGCCCGCUCUGUAGUUGCAGUUGAUAUAGGAAGAGUAAUAACAAGUCUAAUAAAUCUGUCAAUAAGAGGAUAUAUCACUGAUUUUCUUGUCUUCACCAAGUCUUGACAUAACUCUUGAAUACCAGACAAUUCUUGCAAUUCUUGCAAUUCUUGCAAUAAGAGGUUUUUGGUAUUUUUCACACCCUUAAUUUGAUUAUAAGAUUUGUUGGGGACUAUGAACAAUUCCAUGCACUUUGAUUGUUCCAAGUAGGGUAACAAACGGUAGUGAUACUAACGACCGUCGGAUUUGCUCAUGAAAGAAAAGGCGAAAAUCCUAGUGACCAUUUUAUAAUGAUGGAUUUGUAUGUUACAAAUUAAACUGACCAUUACUUUUGGGCUGCAGUUCCAGCCUUCGACCCUUCUAUUUUCCUUUUCCAAAUCACUAAAAUAUGACGAGAAAUAAAAGUAUGAACACGAUAUAUAGAUGAAAAAACAUUAAAAGGUCUGGAUACAAGUUUUAAUGAGUAGUUGCAGCUUGCGAAUUCUUGCAAGUCAGUUGCAUUGUACUGUGUCGUGCAUGGUACGUCAACUGCAGACUAUAGCUGAAAUCUGAGUAUUAUUCCUCCCAGGUUAGGAUCCUCUUCAUUGAAUUUCUCUCUAUUGAUUUCUCCAUUUGUUCAUACCCAUAAUUUCAUAAGUCUAUAAAAUCAUCCAAUUGUGUCAUUAUUUAUUUCUGGAUCAACAUACUGAGAAAAUGAUAUGAUUCUUUUAAAAAUACUUUGACAUUCAAUUUACACGAAACAUUUAAACAGUGAAAAAUGAGUCAAAAUUUGCGGUAAAUUUUUUAAUGAUUAAUAGGGGUGGCAAUUCGGGUCCAAAUCAGGCAGACACGACCCGUCAGAAAAUCUAUUGACCCGAAUCCGACCCGCCAACCCUUGACGGUGUCGCGCCCCAUUUUUCGCGAUGGAAAAGAAAAAUAAAGUGUGAGGUUUAUAAAAGAUAUGAUUUUAUUUUUAAACAAGUUAAAAGGGACCUAGAAUGGGACUUAAAAAGAAUGCGACAAUUUGGGUCCAAAAUUUAGUCUAAAAGGGUUUUUAAGAAAAAACAGGAGUCGUCACUUGGUAUGGAGUUUUGGUGUACCAAGUCACCCAAAAAAUAAAGUAAAACAAAAUAAAACCCUUUUUGACAACUCCAGGUCUUUGAAAACAAGAGAAAAUGGAUUCGGGAGUCACGGUUGAAGAAAGGGAAGGCAAAGAUUCGAUUAACUCAAAUCUAAGGCACCCUUUCAACCUAGUCUAAGCUAGUUGCGAGGUUUAGUCAAAAUUUUCCUAAUCUAACCCUUAAUUUAUCACAUUUGGAUGUUUUCUAUAUGAAUGCAAAUUUAAAAAAUAUCGCAAGGGACAACAUGUUCAUUCAAGGGUUUAAUUGAACCAAUCGCAUUAAUUGCGAAGGUCAAAAUAAAUCCUCGAAGGUGUCACAAGGAUGCAAAUGAUGAAAAAGAAAAGAAAAUAAAUUAUAUACAUAUAUAUAAGUGAUCAAAGAAAAAGGGAAUGCAACAUGAAGGGUACGGGAGGCAAAAAAAUUCGUGACAUAAUUUUCUUAUACAUGGAUUAAUAGGGUAUUUAAACUAGAAAGUUAUAAUCACCCAUUUCCCAUGUUUGAAAAAUAAUUAUCCUAACAUGAACAAGCAAAUGAACUAGCUUAAAUGGGAUGCAAUUCUAAAUGACAUGAUUAGCACCUAUAGCGGGUAGGGGAUAAUAAAAUAGGGAAUAUCAUGCAAAUGAGAAAAGAUCCUAAAAAUGAAAAUAUGCAUGAAAAUGUGGUGAAUAGCAUACAAUGAUGAAUCUAGCGCAAGAUGACCUAAAGGGUCUAGCGUUGGACUAGCCCAUUUCUAAAAAUCCUUGCUAGCGUUGGACUAGCAAGUAAGCGGAGGGAGAAACCACAACUAGCGUUGGACUAGUGUGGUGACGUCAUGCAUUAACAAUUCAUAGUGAAACAAAUAAAACAUAAAUUAAAACAAAUAAACACAUAAAAGCACGUAGCACAUAACACGUAAACAUAAUAUCUAGAUGCGAAAAUCCUAAGGAAAGCGGAUAAAACACAUAACACAUAAGCCACAUAACACGCAACCUAUCUAUUACAUCGGGGAGUGCCUAACUACAAACUAGAAGGGAAAAAUAUAAUAAAACAAAUCUAAUUAUCCUAUCUAUUACAUUUUUGAGGUAUUUAAAUACCUCUUGAAUCAUUAUAAAAAUAAACUAAACAAAUAUAAUAUAAGAAAAUUUAAAUGAACAUUUAAAUGCAAUAAAUAAAACAUAUAAAAAUAUAUAAACACAUAGGAACACAUAGGAGCACAUAAGAGCACAUAAUUGACAUUGAAAUAAUAAAAAUAGGGGUACCUCCCGUUUGAAGUGGUGACUAAAUGGAGUCAAAUUGUCCUAUUUAUACUCACAAUGAACAAAAGAAUCAUGGCACCACUUUAAUUGAAAAUAAUAAUAAUAAUGUUAAAACACUAAAUUCACGUUAACAUGUCAAAUGCAAAGAAAUUUAAGAACAUCUAAAAAUUGCAAGUUAAAUAUAUUCAAAAGCGACAUAAUUAGCUAUUAAAUAAAAGAAACAAUCACAAUAAAAAGAGUCAAAAUUCAUUAGGGACUGAAUUGCAAAAAUUGAAAAACUUUUGGGGACAAAAAAUAUAUUUUUUCAAAGUUCAGGGGUCAAAAUUAAAUGAAAGAUAAAUUUUAGGGACCAAAGUGAAAUUACUAUAAGGACCUAUAUGAAAUAAAAUUAAAAUAUUCUGGGCCACAAUGAAACUACUCCAAAAAAUAGGGGCUAAAGUGCAAAUACGUUUUCUUAUUUGGGAGAAGAAAGGCCAUCGGGCCGUUAUUUUUAUUUAUUUGGGCUGGAUACUACCUAAGCCCAACCGAAAGUCCAAGCCAAAACACAAGGCCAACCCGUCUUCUAUCACUCAAACCCAACCAAAAUAAAGGCAUGGGCUCUGACCUUCUAGCCCAACCGAAACCCAAAAGAAAAAUAAACCAAAGCCCAUUUUCAAAACCCAACCAAAACUAACUCUUGGCCCAUCAGAAAAAUAAACAUCAGCCCAAAUCCUUUUUUUUUUCUUUCUUUCUUUUCUUUCUUUUCUUUUCUUUCUUCUCUUCUUCCUCUUUUCUUUCUUCUUCUUCCACCGAGAAGCUGAAGCUUCUCCCUGCUGGCGGCCAUGGUUGCCUCCGGCGGCGCCACCACCGGACCGCCGCCGGCGAUCUCUCCGGUCACCAAAUUUUCUCAAAAUACACCCCCUCACUCGAUUUUUCGCGUAAAUUCCAUUUCCGGAGUUAGUUUUUACAAAAAAUGAGUCGAAAGUGGUCAAAAUGCCAAGAAAUCAGUUCAGUUUUUUAUUUUUUAAAACCUUCACAUCUUCACCAAAAAUCAUAAAAAUUAUGCCAAAACCCUCCUGAUAACUUCUACAUUACAACUAUAAUCUUAGUUUGACAAAUAAACAACAACAAAAUAAAGCAUUAAGUCAAAGCAGCCCCAAAAAUGAAGAAAAUUAUUCUAAUGCUUUGAAGGCUCAAAAACUCCCAAAAUUUUGGAUAACCAAGCAUUUUCAGAUCUUUGCUAGCUAAUGGUCAUCCAUUUAAGCAAAACAUACACACCAAAUUCACUCCUUUGAUUCAUUUUUUCAUUCAAACCUUUUUUCAAACAUUUGGCAUGCAUUCACAGCACCGUUUCUUUUUUUCCUAAUUUUGUUCAUGACCCAUCCCAAAAUUUCAUCCAUACAACACCAACAAAAACCAGCAAAAAUAAGCAAUAAAAAAAGUAACCACACAUACAUUCAAUCUAGUUAAUUAAAAAAAGAAAAGCUGGAAAAAAGGGAGAUAAAUACCUCAAUGAAGAGUUUGGUCCCUUUGCCAAGAUUUUUGAUGAAAUUGCCAAGCUCCAAUCCAACCGAUUGCUGCCUUGUUGUGUGCAAAUGUGUUUGGAUUUUGUGGAAGAAAAUGUGUAGAGGGAGCCCCCUUUUUUUUUUUUUGUUCCUCUUGUCUGAUGAGGGAGAGAGCCGAGAGAGCAAAUUGAGCCAAAAGGGUGGAGUCUCUCUUUUUUUUUCUUGUCCUCUGUCCGUGAGAGCCGAGAGAGGAGAUUGAGGAAGUAGUUUUUUUUCUUUUGUUUGGUUUUUGUUCUCGUCUGUUAAGAGCUAGCCGAGAGAGGGAGGGAAAAUUUUUUCCUCUCUUCCUUCUUCUCUCCUGGAGAGAGCCGAGAGAUGUCUUGUAGCCAAAAUGGAGCUUGUGUGCUGAAUCUUCCAAAAUGAUGAUUUCUCAAUUAAUGAAAAGACAAGUCCAUGGCCAUUGAGUGUGAAAUGGGUUAAUAGUUAAUUUGGUGAAACAAAAUGAUCAAAAUGAUUUUUUGAUUUUUUUUUUGAUUUUUUUUGAUUUUUGUUGUUUUGUUGUUUUUUUUUUUUCUCUUUUUGUAAAGCAAACCUGCAAAAAUGAGAAAAUGCACAUUAAAAUACAAGAAAAUAAAUAACUUAUUAAAUAGAAAAAUCCUGAGAAAAUAUUAAAAAUUGACAAAAAUUUGGUGUCUACAGCUUGCCCCUCUUUGUCUAGAGUUUCAAAGAAACUCAAGACAAAGACGUAGACACCAAAUUGCUUACCUGUCUCUUGUAGCUGCACCUGAACUAAAAUAAACAAACCAACACUUGGCUGAAAUUAUUGGACAAAAUGAUGCAAUAACAUUGCAGAAAAUGUGACCGGACCCAUGUAGAGUUGCCUACGUAUCCCACCAUGGGAAUCAGGUCAAACGUAGUUCGAAUGCAAGUGAACCACAAUGAAACAAGUGCAUUGACCAACUGUGGUCUUUGCAAAGUCGAAAAAUUCUGAGCUCUCAGAACUUCUAAACAUGAAACACCAAAUGAAUGAGAAAGCACAACAAUUAUUGGUCAAAACAGUCAAGAAAAGUAACUUGUCAUAAUUAGAAAAAGAUGCGCGGAGGGACGCGAUUACGCUCCAAGAAGGGGGAUAGAAGGGUGCGCGGCGGACGCUGAGACUCACAAACAGAAAAUUAAAUUGAUCUUUUUAGAAAAAGAUGCGCGGAGGGACGCGAUUACGCUCCAACAGGAAAUUAAAUUGUCAAGAAAGGGGAUAGAAGGGUGCGCGGUGGACGCUGAGACUCACCAACAGAAAUUUAAAUUGUCAAGAAGGGGAAGUAGAAGGGUGCGCGGUGGACGCUGAGACUCACCAACAGGAAAUUAAAUUGAUGCGCGGAGGGACGCGAUUACGCUCCAACAGAAAAUUAAAUUGUCAAGAAGGGGGAUAGAAGGGUGCGCGGUGGACGCUGAGACUCACCAACAUGAAUUUAAAUUGAUGCGCGGAGGGACGCGAUUACGCUCCAAUAGACAAUUAAAUUGAUGCGCGGAGGGACGCGAUUACGCUCCAACAGAAAAUUAAAUUUGUCAAGAAAGGGGAUAGAAGGGUGCGCGGUGGACGCUGAGACUCACCAACAGAAAUUUAAAUUGUCAAGAAGGGGAGGUAGAAAGGUGCGCGGUGGACGCUGAAACUCACCAACAGGAAAUUAAAUUGAUGCGCGGAGGGACGCGAUUACGCUCCAACAGAAAAUUAAAUUUGUCAAGAAGGGGGAUAGAAGGGUGCGCGGUGGACGCUGAGACUCACCAACAUGAAUUUAAAUUGAUGCGCGGAGGGACGCGAUUACGCUCCAAUAGACAAUUAAAUUGAUGCGCGGAGGGACGCGAUUACGCUCCAACAGAAAAUUAAAUUUGUCAAGAAGGGGAGGUAGAAAGGUGCGCGGUGGACGCUGAGACUCACCAACAGGAAAUUAAAUUGAUGCGCGGAGGGACGCGAUUACGCUCCAACAGAAAAUUAAAUUGUCAAGAAGGGGGAUAGAAGGGUGCGCGGUGGACGCUGAGACUCACCAACAGAAAUUUAAAUUGUCAAGAAGGGGAGGUAGAAGGGUGCGCGGUGGACGCUGAGACUCACCAACAGGAAAUUAAAUUGGAUCUUCUUGAUUGAUGAUUUUUUUUUUUUUUUUUAAAAAAAAAAAAACAGAUUGGUGGGAUUGACCCGAGCCCAAUUAAACACUGAAAGAAAUGAAAAUGCAAGUUCAAUAUUAUCAAACUGAAUGAUUAAAAUGCACGUUGCUCAAGUUGGUGGAUUUGCAAUCUCUCUUUUUUUUUCCAAAUUUUAGAAGAAAUGAAAGAAACACACCUUUUUUUUUUUUUUUUUUUUUUUUUUGAAAAAAUCAAAGGUGACGAAUUCUAAAACUGAAAAUACCAAUGACAACUCUCCUUUCAAGAGAUUUGAGAGGUACAUACAUAUGUCACUAUCCUCUCGAUUUUAAAAGACUCUUUUUUUUUCUUUUCACAAACCCGAUCUAGAAUAAAUUACCAAAAUUGGAGCUCACUCCUUUUGAUAUUUGCCCAGUGUAAAUCAUGUUUAACAAAGGCCACAUUUUUUAUACUUUCGAGAAAACAGAAAGAGUGAUCACAUAAUACCACCACCCAUGUGAUCCCUUGUGAUCCCUUCGACCUUGAGAACCAUGCAAGAAUGACCUUUCGAUGUCAAAACUGCUCCCCAAGAGUUGUGCUGCAACUUGUCUUGAAUCUUCUCAAUUUUCUAGCAUCAGUUAGCCAUACUCCACCGUGCAUCACAAAACAUCUAUUUCUAUUGACCAGAUUUGAAUGAAUGAGUUGCGCCAAACCACCUGAGUGUAGUGCCUGCACUCCUUCCCUUGAGUACAUGAAUUGGACCCGUAAUCGUAGUAUUGCCUCUCAUUCACCCACAGAUUGACGGCAGCCCGGGCCGUGAAGUCUCCAGAGCCUGCGGCUAGGUUCUCACCGUAAGGGCCACCAGAGUGCAUGAGUUGGCAGUCAUUCAUCCUCUGCGUCGCGUAGUUCUUUGCAUAGGCGGCCAACCUGUCGUCCCAAGCUAUCCGGCUAACAUUGACUUGUGCACGAGCUGCAUUAUGAACAUCUAGAUAAUCUUGUUGUGAAUUUUGAGCU